CCAACAUGAGAGUCUAGGUUGAUAUGCACGCAUGGUUGUGAGAUCUGUCAUAAAUCUGUUAUAAAGUAAUAGUUUUGUAAUUUUACAAUUUGUGAUGCAAUGACAUUUAUAUUGAUCUAUUAGGCACCUCUGCAUCUAGCAUAGGGUAGUUUAGUCAACAUUUGUAUUUUUGCUGCAACAACAUGAUGUUAUUUGUAGCACGUAGUUUGUUGGUUGGUUAAUUGGCCACCUUUUGGCUUAAGGGUAGAUCAUAAUAUCACACUUAUUUUUGGUCUUUAUACACUAACUUGAAUAUUAGAGACAUCCGUAACUGCUCAUUGUUUUUUGACAUGGAUUUGCACCAGCUCUACUCUCAAAAACAGUUCCCAAUCAGUCCAAAAAUUCACAUAGUGGCUCAAGUGAGGAGGUUGCUAUUUAAUGAUAAAAAAUGGCUUAGUUUACCCCUGAUAUACAACUGCAUUGUGAGGAUCUUGACUGAUCUCAUCAUCAUGAUAAAAAGGAAAAGAGAGUAGAGAAAAUAAAAAAGAAAAUUGCAAAAGAAAAACAGAAAGUAAAGCUUUAAAACAGAGGAGAAAAAAAAGGGAAAAAAUUGAUGGUCAAACUGUUCAUUCCAGCUUUUAGUCAUUAGUUUGGCUCUGGGAUCUCCACAGUUUUGACGGACAAUAUAAUGAAUUCAUGUUGUAAACUAAACCUGUUACUUGUAUAUUUUAUAAUGUCCAUUUUGUUCUUAACCAGAAAGUUCCCUAGGACUUCUGGUUUUUCUCUUGUGGCACCGGGCAGUCCCACCAAAUGGACUGGAAACUGAUCCUUUUGCUGUUGGUGUGGUGUGAAACUCAUUUUCGUUUCCCUAUUUUUCAUGAUGUGUUAUGCAGGCAAGAUUCUUAUUGGCAAAGUUGAACCCAUCAGCUACAUACAACAAUGCCCAUGAAAUGGCAACUGGGUCAGAUGUGAUCUUCACAGAUGAUGUGAGCCUUCAAGUGUUCUUUGAGCAUCUCCAGAGGCUGGCUGUGCAAUCAUGAGAGCAGAAAGGAGUUGGGAUCUAAUACACUUAAAUCUAUGGGUUGGUUUGUGUGGUGAAAAUUCUCUUGUCCUCUAAUGUCUGUCCUGGUUCCAAUGAGUUUUCCUUUCUUCCCCAUGUUAAAAUGUUGAGAAGUGAGACCCGAGAUUAUUUGGAAAAAGCAAAUAAGGAAAGCAUGUAUCAUUCUUUAGGGGUGGUUGGGGGAAGGUAUUUGCUUCCUUUGGUAGAAUAAGAGACACAAAGGUUAAUAUUGAGUUAUACGGAAAGAAAGGUUUGAUGCUUGAGCGCUAGGAGGCCAGUCAGUGAGGGCUCAGGAAGAUAUUUUGGCAGCUGUUCUCUCUUUUUUUUGGUUUCUUAAUUUUUUCUUUGUUAAUUAGACAGCCAGGUUAGAAGAACAUUGGUGCUGUGUAUUUGAGUUUUUCUUUUCUUUUUUCUUUUUUAAGUUAUAUACUGAAAUGGGGCAUAUGAAAAAGUUGGGGAAACUGGAUCAUUUGUUUUUUACCCUUACAAAUUUUAAAUACAGCUAUCAAUUUCCUUAUUGGUUCAUAUUAUCCUUCAAAAUCAUGAAGCCCAUGUCUGUGUUUUGUGGGGAAAAGAGCGUGGGAAUGAUAACCGUUUGUUUGUUGGUGAAGUGGCAAGUGUUAAUGGAUAUGCAUCUUUAUAUAAUUAUUUGUACAAAAUUUAAAAGUAGACUUGAAACUCAGAUCGACUCUAGUCUGAUUUUCUAUUUUCUAGUGGGAGUAAAAUGUGAUGGACGAAGCAACAACUUCCAUCUGCUCAUUGUGAGGGCCCAUCCAUCCCCCUCCUCAACUUCGCAUAUUGGUAAUUUCACAUUGUUUUGAAGGCCCCAAAACACCAUCAAUGAAAAAAAAUUUGUUAAUUUCACAGGUUUUGAAGAUGAUGCAUCUUACAACUAUUUCACAUUGUUCUUCUCCUUAAUGAUCACAAAUUAUUCAUAUCAAAAUGACAUAUUGGUAAAAGAAUGAAUCAAUUGAAAGGAAAACCCUAAUGCUCCUGAGGUUAAGAAAAUUGUGUAGAAAAGAGUAGUCCUCAACCAUUGCUACCUCGUAUCGUCUUUAGAUUCUAAGAGUACAAUACUUGGUAUUUUGAUAAUAGUUGUUCUUGACACAUGAUUGGAAAUAAGAAAUAUUUCUCAAUCUUUGAAUCAUUGCAAAGGAGAAAAGUUGCAUUUUGCUUUUAUCAUCUUAACCCAAGGAUGGUCGCCUUCGCCAACUUGAUGUGAAUAAUGUCUUCCUUUAUGGUUCACUAACUAAACAAGUGUUCAUAUUUAAACCUCCUAGUUUUGUUGAUGACUCACAUCCUUAUCAUGUAUAUCAUUUUUAUAAAGCUAGUCGUGGCCUUAAGUAGGCACUUCAUGCUUAGUACAAGAACUCCAAACUUUUCUCCUAGCCUUUAGAUUUGUUAAUUCUAAAUCAAAUUAAUCUCUUCAUAUACUAUUAUAUUAUUAUCACAAUUUAUUUCCUUGUUUAUUUCAAUGAUCCUAUUACUAGAAAUAAAUGGUAAGGCUACUAUGGAAGCAACCAAGUUAACAAAUUUGAAGAUGUACUUUAUUUUGAGAAUCUUGAAGCGAAUUUCAUAACAAUUUGCCAAAUGUGCAACAACAAACAAGUUUGUGCUUCACUCAACAACCAUGCCUAAUCAAGAAUGACAGGGGAAGAGUGCUUACUUGUUAGCAGUAGGACAUCCAAUAAUUGCUAUACACUAGCUACUAAUUCUUCUCUUCCACUUCCAUUGAGUAUAGAACUGUAAAGUUAGAUCCUAUUAAAGCUAAAGCAUCAUAGAGUAAAAUAUCUUAACCUUAUGUAUUUGGCUAAUUUGGCUUGGAUAGCAAACGAGAAGCUUAUUAAAGGAAUUCCUAAACUAGGAAAGCUAAGGGUCUGUUUGGUUGGUGUUUUCAAGAACUAUUUUCUGUUCUUGAAAAGAAAAAACAUUAAAAACUUAUUUGGUUGAGAAAGUUGUUUUUGUUUUUCUUGUUCUUCGUGUUCUCAAAAUGGCACUUUUUAGAGAACAAAAAAAUUUUGUUUUCCCCAUUUUUUUUACUAUUUACAGAACAAAAAAAAGGCAUAAGAGAACAACUGUUCUCCGUGUUUUUUUUUUCUCGUUCUCACAUUUCCUUUUCUCCAGCACAGUGGUGGCAUCUCCAAUAGCACGAAACGAAGGUAACUCUACCAACACAUUUGUGCUUUCCUUUUUAUUUCCGCAUAUGUUGAAGUUGUUUUUGGUAGAUCUAGUAAAGUAGGCUUAUUUUGGUAACAUUUGUUGAGAAAAAUGUUAGAUCUGGGUAAAGAGAUAAUUUUUUUUUUUUGGUAUUGUAUGUUUGUUUUGAAAUCUAUUUUUAUUUGGAAUGAGAUUGUUUUUCAGUUCUGUUAUUCGAAUGAGAUCUGAGUUUUUUUUUUAUCAUGUGUUUUUAGGUUUUUGAUUUUUCCGGUUUGGAUGCUGAGAAAAGUGGGGAACGAGAAAGAAAACAAACAAAAAAAUUCCUGAUUUUUCCCGUUUCACAGUUUUGAUUUUUCUUGAAUUGUUUUAUUCAAGAAAAACAAAAAACCUGCUUAAGAACAUAGAAGAGAAAGAAAACGAGUUGCUUAUUGAGAGGGUUUUGCAGGUGAUUUUUUUCUCAAUUUUGAAGAAGAUGAGAGACGAGAGAAUGAGGGUAGUAAAAUGUAAAUAAGAAUGUAAUAUUGGAUAAAGACUUUUCUCAAGAUUAGAAUGGUCAGAGAUAUUUUUAAGGGACAUGAAGAUCAUUUGUAUGGAUAAAAUGGUUGGUAAAAUAAAAUUCAUACAUAAAGAGAAAAUAUAUUGGUCAAAGUAUAUUGGUUGGUAAAAUAUAUUUCUCAACACAAAUAUAACAUCAACUUCAGUCGUGGGAAUCCCUUGGAAAAUGACCAUCUUCAAACUUCAUCUUACUUAUAACUCAAACAAUAAUGAACAAAGUGUCAUUGUAAACAAUUAUUGGCUAAAACAAAUUUAUUAAAAUAACAACUUGGUUGCUUUGACUUCAAUCAUCCAAAUAAAAAUUAUAUUUAGAUUAAUUACUAAAAAUAAAAUUUUUGUUUAUAUGAAAACUAAAACUUAUUUUGAUGGUUUCUUUGCAUCCUUUUUUCUACACCUCAAAUGGACAUAUUUGCAUUUAUUUUCAUGUCCUAUAUAUUCUAUUUUAUUUUGUUUUUAAUAAUUUAUCUAGAACAUCCUCAUUGUUUUAUAUGUGUUGAUGAUUAUAAUCUAUAACAACUUCAUUAACUAGUUGUCAUCUGAUAUAAAAAUUUUAAAAUGAAAUAAUUUUUUAAAUUUAAAUGAAUUGUGUAUAUAAAAAUUAUUUAUAAAUUUAUCAUAUAAAGUUACUUGAAGAAAACAUUUUAUUAAUUGGAAAAAAAAACAACUUUCAAACAUGUUUUUUUGUUUUUUGAGAACAAAAACCGUUUUCCAAAAUUCAUUUCCCAAACAUAAUUUUUUUUUUUUUUUUCUGAAAACACCAAAAAUUGUUCUCAAAAACUGUUUUCCUGAAUAGUUUUCGAAAACAACAACCAAACAAUCGCAUAAGUUCUAGUUGUUAUUGAUGAUUACUCUACGGGCACCAUCCACUACAAUUUGAUGGUUCAAGGUGACCACUUUGCUUGAGUUGGGUCAGGCUUCAAGCUCUAGAAUAGUGUGUUGAUUUUGUUGAUUUUUGAUGUACCAUUUUGCCCCUCACUAGACCAUUUGGAAUCUCAAGGAUGAUCUCAUGCGAGUUUGUUAUUACCAUCUCUCUGUUUUAAUCUAUCAUUUUUCCAACCAACUUUGACAUCUACUCACAUAAAUCUCCAACUCUUUAUCAUUCCAUCUCCAUCUCACUCCCCCCUUUUUUUUUCUCAAAUCUCCUAAGUCUUCUUAUUAGACAAAUAAACUUUAAAUUAAAUCAUACUUAUUUUUUUUGAAUUUGACAUCGAGUUUAGUAAUUUUUAAAACUUACUUAAAAUUUAAAAAUAGACUUAAUCACGGGUUAUAUACUUUACAAACUAAAACGAGCCAAUAAUGGCUUUGUUGAUUUUUCUACCACGUAAAACCAUGUUAUUGUAAUUUUUUCAUUAGACAAAGAAAGACUUUAGAUCCAAUAAAACUUGAAACAUUGGAUUGCUUAAGAAAUUUAGCAAUGCUUAAAAAUAAUUUGGAGUAAAAAACCAAUCCAAUUAUUAGCUAAAAUUGAAUCAAAGUUGUUGUUGUGUUUUUUUCUUUUUUAUUUUUUAUCAAAAUAAUUUUAUUCCAAACUCAAAAAUAAAUUUGGUGGUGUAUUAUAUAUUUUGCCAUCCUAUAUAAGGAUUGGGCGCCAAAGCAUUUGAACGCAGUGGGCAGAGAAUGAUGUUGGAGGAGGAGGAAGAAGAAGUGUAUCCAGCAACAUGCUCACAGGGCCACAGAUCCACCCUCAUCCUCCAAACCAUGGAAGGAGGCAGAAUCUGCCUCAUCUGCUUUACCAACCUCCUCUCCAACCCUACUUCCCCCACCUUCCACGUCUCUCACGCCCUCUCUCAGCUUUCCCACGCCCUCUCUCACCCCCCUUUUCUCCAUUCCCUUCUCUCCCACCACCCUCACCUUCUCGUCUCCCCUCUUCUUCACUCCCUCUCCUUCUUCAACGACCAUUCCAUCGCCUCCCAGAUCAUUCAUCUCGUUCUCUUUCUCUCUAAUUCUUCUCAUUCUUCUUCCCUUUAUGGGGAGUUUGUCUCUCGGAUUGCCUCCAUCCUCUCAGGUUCUAAGCUCCACUGGAGUCCGCGCCAGGCCUCUAUGGUACCCUUUUGUCAUUUCCCGCUUCUUUUUUCCUUCUUUCUUUUUUCUGUUUGGUUUCUGGGAAAAUUGAGGGUCAAAUUUUGGCGUAACUAGUUCUGCUAAGCUAUUUUGUGUGCCGAGUGAUUAAUUAUGUUAAAAAAAAUGGUAGAUACUAUUUUUCCACAUUUUUCUCAAUAACCAAACAGAGUGUGAUAGAUUGCGUCUCACCUCUGUCUGUGCACUCCCCUUUGUUUUCCUCUCAUUUUGUGUUUCUUCUGUUUGGUUGCUGGAAAAAUAGAGGGGAAGAGUGGAAAUCGUGAAAAACCUUAGCGGAAGUGGUUGUGUUUGGCUAUUUGGAUACCGACUUAUGAAUUUUGUAACAAAAAUAUGUGAAACUUAAUUUUCCUAGUUUUCUCAAGAACCAAACAGACAUAAUAGAUUGUGUCUCACCUUUCGUUUCCUAAGCUGGAGCGGAGUCAGGAUAGUUUCAUCUUUCGCUGUUUGGUACAUUAGAAAAUGGUGGAAAAGACAGAGGAGUAAUGAUUAAAUCUAUAGGAAGAAUUCGUAUUUGGUCAAUUUUGGUGCCGACUGAUGGAUGUUAUUAAAAGAAUUUUUUCAAAACUUCCUUUUCUAUGUUUUCUGGACAGCCAAACAGAGAGUCUCAAAUAGUAAAUAAUAAUAAAAAAAUUAACCAUUGAAUCAUGGCGUCUCAGAUAUCUAUAGUACACCUUUCAAUUUGUAUGGGCAACAAAACAAUAAUUUACAGGCAAACAAACAUAAUUUCAAGCCCCAUGGAGGGGCCUUGAAUAUUGGUAGAGAUUGGGAACUCAAGGAUAUACUUGGAUUUGUAUAUUGGUUGAGUUUAGUUCAUUGUUUGAUUAAAUGAGUUUCAUAUUAAUGAAACAUUUUAAUUAGUUAUAAAAUUUAAAAACAAAAAAGUAGUAGAAAAAGGAAGAAAAUCUAUGCAUCAAUAGGAUUAAAUGAUCUUUUCCAUUUUGAGUUGGACACUAAGAGUUUCUUCUGGGGUGAUGUAUCCUUUGACAGUGAAUUCAUUACUUCAUCUGAAUAGCAUUCAUUUCAGCAUUUCUCCGUAUGCAGCUUCAUUGCUUAGGGGUUCUCUUGAACUGUGAGACGAAUAAUCCUUAUGCCCACAUCAAAGACAAAAGUGCCCUUGUCUUCAACCUUGUUGCAGGUCUUCAGUUGCCUAGGUAACAACUAAAGCACACCCAGAAAUUAUUCAUCUUCUUUUACUAUGCAUCUAUUGUAUUGUAUCUUUAGUACCUUCUUUCUUUGUUUCAUGUUGAAUACAGUGAAGAGAUCCAGGGGGAGAUCCUGUUUGUUCUCUACAAACUAUCUAUCCUCCAAUAUGCAUCUGAGGAGGGUGAUGGGUCUGACCUUUUAUUUUCCUUUUGCCCCAAGCUCUUGCACUUGUCAAUGGAAGCUCUUAUGAAGACCCAAAGUGAUGAUGUUCGUUUGAAUUGUGUAGGUUUGUGAAUUUCCUUUGGACAUUUAUUUUACUUCAUUUUUUGCUAUCACAUGGGAACCGCCUAGUUAACCCUUGGCCAGAAUGAAGUUAAUUCAGCAUAUGCCAGGAUUUUUUGUUCCAAAAUAAGUUUGCCUAUUGCAUCCUUGGCCUUUUGUCCCUUGGUUAUGAUUAUGUAUUGACAAAAUGCAAAGAGCAACUUCAGAAACCCAAUUUUCACAUCAUAUAUGCUGUCAUGUGAGAUGGGAAUACAAUGAUGUUUGUCGGUGGCGGUGAAGUCCUGAUGACUGCUUAUGACAAUAUUCCAGACUGGAAAUAUUUGGUUCUUAAGCAGAGCGAUAGGAGUAUGUAUAGUAACAAACUAUUGAGCUGGACCACUGCUUAAGUUCCAUCUAAACUAUCUCCCAGGUUAAAUUACAAUAUGAUUAUAUGACCACUAACUGAUCCCAUGCAAAACUAGGACUCCUAGAAAGUUGGAAUUCUCAAAAGCUAUGCAGGGUAUGACUAUUAACUGCCUGUAUUUUAGUUUGAAUCAUAUAAAUUGGGACCCUUCAGACAAUAUAUGCUAUAUGCAGUAGUCAUCCUGAAAUGUCAUUGGAAUGCACUCAUGCACAGAUGCACUUAUAUCUUUCAUUUUCAUAUUUUCUCAAGUGAUAAUUUCCAGUUUCUCCUGUGUAGCACUCUUGACAGUGUUGGCUCAAAGGGGUUACUUUGAGAAUGCAUUUGCUAAUGACAUAAGCAUUAGGGAUUGCUGUGAAGCUGAUAACUUCAUGGAAGUGACAGAACAUGAAAAAGAUGUGCUUCCUCUGAAUAUCUUGUUUGCUGAAGCUAUCAAAGGCCCACUACUUUCUUCGGAUAGUCAACUUCAACUUGGCGCACUGGAUUUGAUCUUUUAUUAUUUAUCAUGGGAAAGGGGUUCAAGCAAACGGAUUCAAGUCUUGGUGGAAGAAAACAUUGCAGAUUAUGUAUUUGAAAUACUAAGAUUGUCAGGUAAAUAGAUUUGCCUGUCUAACCAAGAAACUCAAGGUGGUAGUGUCCUUUUGAGUAUGGCCUACCAUUAAAAUGUGAAACAAAUCUAUCAUUCAGUAUCUCAGCUGUCAACCAUUCCUUCUAUAUUAUGUUUUUCUUGGAAUGCCACCACAAUUUUCUAAUUAUUGAUGCUAUAAACAUCCACAAUUUUCUUUUGGAUGCUAUGAACUUCAAUUUCUGCAUGCCAGUAAUUGUCAUGAGCAUAAUUUUCUAAUUACUGAAUUGAGUGAAUAUAAUAUUAUCAUCAGCAUACUAUCUGGUCAACCUUCUGAAUAGUCUGAUGAGUGUAUGCUGUAUUUCUUCAUGGCAGUAGUUACCUCAAAUCUCUAUAUUUAUGUUUGUGAUCUAAAAAUAAACUUAGACUCUUUUGGAUGCUGCAAAUUCUAGUUGUCUGAGUAUUGAAAUUUUGUGUUAAUUUUAGAGUGCAAGGACCCAGUGGUUAACUCCUGCCUUCGAGUUCUUGAUCUUUUAUCAAUAGCUGAGCAUGCUUUUGGACAAAGACUUGCUAUUGGAUUCACUACACUGCUUCCUGUUCUGCAGUAUGUAGUUGAAGUUCCUUUUCAUCCUGUUCAAACUCCAACACUGAAGCUCAUUAGGAAUUGCAUUUUGAACUACCCUGGAAUGGUAUCCAUUACACAAAUUGAAGAAAUAGGUCUUAUCUUGACAAGGAUGCUUAGAAGACAUAUUAAUGGGGACGUGGACAUGCUUCCAGAGACGUUGAUUAUUGCAUGCUCAAUCCUUGUAGAUCUCAUGAAGUCUCCUUCUUCUCAUGAGGCUUUAACUCUCAGAACAAUAGUUCAAGAAUCAGUUAGACAUGCCAUUUUAGCUUCUCUAUGCCUCUAUGAGAAACAUCCCAAUCAAAUUUUGCACUCCCUUUACUUACUGAAAGAGGCAUAUGCAUUCAGUCAUGAAGGGAACUCCACUAAAAACGAAGCUAACCUGGAAUUAGGAAAUUGUAUUAUUGAUGUUUGUAGAACACAUUUACUACCUUGGUUUGCAACAGCCAUCAAUGAAAUGGAAUAUGAGGAAAUUGUCUUGGGAGUACUGGAAGCCUUUCAUUCAGUACUGCUUCAGGAUUCUUAUGCACAAGCAAAGGAAUUUGUGAUGAUUCUGGUUUCAUCCUCUUGGUUCAGUUUGUCAUUUGGAUGUUUAGGAUUAUUUCCUAGUGAAAAGAUGAAAUGGAGAGUAUAUCUGAUGUUCAGUUCAAUUGUGGAUGUUCUUCUGGGAAAUGAAUCUGGACAACCCAUUAGAGAUGCGGCUUUAUAUCUACCAUCUGAUCCUUCUGAUUUGUUGUUUUUGCUGGGUCAGAAGAGCACCCAAAAUCUAGAACUAUUGUCUUGUCAAUCUGCAGUUCUGCUGAUACUAUAUACCAGCUCUUUAUAUGAUGAAAGGUACUCCUUUUGCCAAUCCGAUAGUCAUCCUAAGGUUUACUUAAUAAACCAUCUUUAUCUUAAUCCUUGAUGUAUUCUUCCCAGACUUGCAGAUGAGAAGCUGGUUUUAGCUUCUCUGGAGCAAUACAUUUUAGUCAACAACAGUGAUUUGCUAUGUGGAGCUGCUGAUUCAGUGUCAAUAACACGACUGAUGAAUCUUUACGGCUUGUACCGGGGUCUUGCAAAGGUCGGCUAUCAAAUUCCCUACAGUCCAGAGGCUGAGAGGAUCCUCUUCGAGCUAGUGGCUCAAAAUGAAUGGGAUUUGUCUUCUGCAACUAUAAACUUCACAUCAUUGAAAUGGUUGUUUCAGCAAGAGAAAAUCAUUAAGCCAUUGUCUUAUCAAAUACUAAAAUUCUGCAGAAAUAAUAGCUCAAGUGGGUCACACAUCAUCAUCCAUGGAAACGACAGCCAAAACAUAGAUGUACAAGGACUUGCAAAGUUGGUAGCAGCAGGAGAUAACUUGGGUGCAGUGCUCUUGGUAUCUUUAUUGCAACAGCUUAUAGAGGAAGAAGGCAAUGAAUGCGACAUCAUUUCAGUAGUGAAUCUCAUGGUAGACAUCAUCAACAUUUUCCCAGCUGCUUCAGACCAAUUAUCCAUGCAUGGCAUAGGCAAUGGGAUCCAGGAUCUUUUUUCCCAUUCGAGCCAUUCUUUGUCCCAACAGAUGUUUGUUGCCAUUGCAAUUCUAAUUUUUGACAUUUUAUGGUCAGUGCAACCUGAAACACUUUCUGAUGGUGAAACUUGGCUUUCAGUGACCAUGAAGGUGACUAACUCAAGUGUGCUUUAUUCCAAUUUGUUCUCUAUUUCACUAAAUUAAUUGGAGAAUUCACCUCCUUUUGUAGUUAAUGGGGUACUUGAUCCCCAUGGUGACUGCAGGGGGUUGGACUCAAGAAAGUCUCUUAGUACUCGGUAUUCUUUCCUUGAUCUUGCAUCAUUCCACCAACCAAGCCCUUGUAGAAGCUUCAAAAGCCAUACUUCUGAAUGAUUCCCUUGUCUCCAUGAUCAACAAUGUGAUCCAUACAAGCUGUUCAAAGGGACCUGCUCUAAUUGAAGAUGAUGAGGAAACAAGAAAUGGAGAAACUUUAACAUUUGUGCUUUUACUACACUUUUUCUCUUGUAGAAGGUCAGUGCUUCACAUCAGUCAUGGAUUCUCCUCAGAUACAAUUACAGAACUCCUAGUUAUUAUCAGAGCUAACACUUUUUGUUUGCCUUAGUUUUAAUGCUGUUCUACCAGGUACUCUGGACUGGCAAAAUCUCCUCGAUCCAUCAAACAAGACUCAGCCACUUUCCUUGAUUAGUAUUCACUGCCAUGACCUGUGCAGACUGAUGCAUUUUGGGUCUCCUCUGGUCAAGCUGGUUGCUUCAUAUUGUCUGAUGGAGUUGUUUACCAGAAUAACAGACCUGAGAAACAGAAAACACGAUGAAUUAAAAUGGAACAUGGGGCAUCUAAUUUCUGUAAUGGCUAUAUUAGAAGGAUUGGUUUUUUACAGUGACAUUAGAGUGGCUAUGAACUGUGCCCUCUGCUUAUCAAUGAUUCUGGGGUGGGAAAAGUUAUGGAUGCAGGACACAAAAGUAAUUGGAAGGUGUAACUGGUGCAGGCUAAUUGUUGAAGAGCUGGCUAUGUCUUUGGCAGUUCCUUCUUUGGCGUCAAAAUCAUUUAUGAAUCAUCACAAACCUGCGGUUCAUGUAGCUGUAGCAUUGCUGAAACUGCACAGCAUUCCUGGGUGGAUGAAGUCUGUGUUUGAUGAUUCCUGCAUUUCUGGUAUAAUUGAAAACCUUUCAGUCAGUAAUGUGAGCAUGGAGACAGUGCUUCUGUUUCGGGAAUUACUGAACCAUGAGUACCUGAAGGAUGAGCAAAUUGCCUGCCUAAAUCGGGUUUUCCAGGUGAAAUUUUCUUAUCCUAUCUCAUGCUCUAUGCACUGCUUUUCUCUAGUUUGAGAACAGAAUCCAAACCAAAACUUGUUUUUUAAAAGAUUUAUAUUAAUGAAAAUGGUUGUUUGUUCAGAAUUUACCUAAUGAUUGUCCCCAACUAUAAGAUAUUGAGGUCCUGUUUGAUAACUAUUUUUUUAACACGGUUUUAAAAAACAGUUUUUAAAAAUCCAUUCUCUAAUGUUUUAUAGAACAAAAAUCUGAUUGGGAAUUGAAAAUGUUUUUAACUUGUUUUCAAUGAUUUUAAAUAUAAUUUUUUAUCUAGUACUUUAUUUUUAGGCAUUCUUCGUAUUUAUAUAAUUACUUUUUAAAAUAGUUCUUAGAAAACAAGUGAAAACAAGUGAAAACAAUUAAAAUUUAUCUGGAAACACCGUAUUUUUUAUUUUUAAGAAUAGAAAACAAAAAAUAGUUUUCUAAUUGUCAAACGCGUUUUCCCUUUUUGUUUUGGAGAAUAGAAAACUAUUCCAAAUAGGGCCUAUGGUUCUCUUUGGAGCAAUCAUACUUUCUAGUGAAGUGCUUUUUUCAAAAGAAAUGUAAAAAACUUGCGUUAUAUUUGAUUCUUGGAAAGUAUUAAGAAAAGAAAAAAAAAUGAUAAGAAAAAUGAUUUUUCUCUUAUUUUGUUUACCAUAAAAAAUAUAAAAAAAAUCAAAUAUAAUUAAAAUCAAUUAAAAACUUGUAUAUUUUAAAGUUAUUUAAUAUUUUAUAUGAAAGAUGAAAAAUAAAUAAAUUGAGUUUGAGAAGACAUGUAAAAAUAAUUUAGUAAUUUUAAAUAUGUUUUUAUUUUACUUCCUAUUUUCUUUCCAUCCAUUUUCCACUCUAUUUUCUUUCUUUUGCAUUUUCCCACAGAUUUUUCAAGAUCAGUUCAUAUUUCAAUAUAUGAAGCAAUUUAAAAUUCCAAGCUGUUUUCCAAAAGCAUCCCAUCCCUAAAGGGCUGCCUAGACAGGCCCCAAUCCUCCAUCCUUUUAACUUCUUGGCCUUAAAAGAAACUACAGGUGAAGCAAUUAAAAAAACAAAGAAAGAAUAUUGCAGAAACCAUAAAAUAUAGAUUUCAUGUUUGCAGUCUCUUCAAAAAUGCAGGCAUGCAGAAAACAUAUUUAUAGUGGGAAUACACAAGAUGAGAGCAGAGAGGAGAAUAUAGAGAAGGUGAUUGCCCUGCCAGAUGAUUUGGGAAAAGCUUGUGAGUUUCUCAUUCACUUAAUGUCAUCCAAUUCAUCUGCACAUAAGGGGAGCAAGAGAUUGCUAGAAGAAAUAGAAAUGUUUUCCAAGAGUCUAACACUAGAGAAUGAUGGAUAAGUAUAUUUGUUAAAUCCUUAUUUUCUUUACUGAAUCAAUUGUGAACAUGUAUUGAUUUGUAACACUCACACAAGGCUCUGGAAAAAAAAAAAAAACACAUUUGUGCAUACAUAUGAUAGACCAACACAUUCAUACAGUUGAAAAAUGAAAUGGGUUGAUGGUUUGCUUGGUUAGAGCAUCUGCAUCUGGGUUAUGUAUAGCAUAUGCAAAUAGCUCAUUGCAAUGUAAAUAAAUUUUUGCUUGCCUGCCUUCUAUUGAAUUGCUCCAUCUGGUCUCUGAUUGAAUGUGCACCUUAAAGAAAAGGGUGAAGAAACAGGAAAGAAAAACAAGUUUGAGCUUUAAACUAAAUUAAAUUUUCCUUCAUUGCUUCUGCUACUUUAUUAUCAUGUUAAAUACUUGAAGUAGAGAAAUUAAUGAUAUUAAAAUGCAAAGGGUUUUGAAUAUUUUUUGUCAUAUUUUAUUUUCAUUUAUAUUUUUUUGUCACAUCCGUCUGGUUCUUGUCCAUGUAAAAACCAAUGUAAAUGGUGGAUUAGUUAGUAGUAAAUUCUCUUGUUCAAGAUAGAUGAAUAAAUGAUAAGCUUUAAUGUAACGGCCCUUCCUUCUCAUGUGGAUAUUAUUCGAGUUGGAUCCAAUACACCCAGAACGAACAAUAUCUAUAUGAAAGAGAGCAAGUUGUAACACUUAAAACAUCUUUUGGAAUGAAUACUUGGAUUCAAUACACCCAAAUCAAAUGAAUACUUGGAUUCAAUACACCAAAAUCGAACAAUAUCUACAUGGAGAGGGCAAGUUGUUAUACUUAAACGUCUUUUUGGGGUGAAUACCUUGGACUUUACUUCACAUCCAUUUGUCUAAAACACAGUGCCUCCUGAGGUUAAAACAAUUUAAAAAUGAAUAAAUAAACAAAAACCUUACUCUUAGUAUUUUAGUUUAUAGCCAAGCAUACCGUAAACUACUUCAUCAAUGGCAUCCACGAUCAUCAAAAUAAACUGCAGCAAAUGGAAUCUUUUAAAUUUUCUCCAACAGGGGCAUUGGUUGAAUGUCAAAAUAACCUGAUCUGGUAGGCGAUGGUUGGCAUGCUUAGGCUCUACAUUUAUGCACAAUAGGAGGAACGAGGUAAACAACCCUCCAUCUCCACAAGCCUUUUUGCAGAACCACCACUAUGCUGGCAGAGAUCAAGAUCCAUUAUCCCUACCAUUACUGCAUUCUGGGGAGCUUCUGAAUAUUCUGCUCUUGCUAUGAAAUUGAAAAAUACGAGUACCAUUCAAAAAGCUCCUUUUAAUAGCAUCCCAUUACUCAAAACAUAAUGACAACUAUGUCAUGAUCCAAUGGUACCCUGAGACUGUAGCUUCAGUGACAGUUACAGGAGGAGAAUUUACAAGUUAUACAACUGAAAAUGACUCCUAAUAACUUUACACAGUAAAGGAAAUAGGAAAGUUGUUACUUAGCAAAUGGACAAAAGGCUGAAGGUAGAAAUGAUGAACAUUCAGAAGGUUUAUGAUUAUGUGCUUACAUAAACACGAGCCCCUUGCCUCUUCAUCUAACCAUGGUGUUGUCAAGUGCCAAACCAAUGUCCAAGAACCACCGCUCAUCGCUUACAUAUGUAAGAGCUUCUUCAAAGAUUUCAUAUAGAGGUGCCACAAAAUCCUGUGAUCUUGAUAAAUGGAUUUCCCAUAGUAUUUCCUGCAUGACAACUUCCCAUCAAAGUUCCCUUUUUCUUGUUCCACUCUUCCCAUUAAUAUUUUCCCUGAAACAUCAAUCUUUCCUUGUUCUUCUAGUGCUGUUUGACUUAAAAAGCUGGUUUCUGAUGUUACUAACGUGUACAAAAGCUUUCCUUGCACAAUUAAUAUCGAUAGUUGAAAAAAAUAGUUUCGCAAAAACAAACUCAAGAGCAUAGAUAUCUUGCAACCAGUCGGGUUUUCCUUGUUACCUUUUUUCCCAAAUAACAACCCCAAUAAACCAUCCUGGUCCAUCAUGAGAGAAUCACUCAAGAUGUUUAUAGAAAAAACCUAUGCCAUUUUUUGGGACUGACCAUCAACUGUAAUCAGUAUAUUUUCUUUAUUUCCAGUAGGCUUCCAAACUUAGUGACUGCAUUCAACUCCAAUGAACUCAAUUUGGCCCUCCUCUGUUGUUAAAUACCAAAUCAAUGAGAUUCUGAUAAGUCCAUAUUUUCUUUUUUCUGGCUUCAGGUUCAAGGGAAGAGUACAUCUCUUCACAACUUUGAAGGAAAUUCCCUUUGCCAAAUGCAGAGAGAACCAGAGGAUCAGUGUUCAUUUCAACAGCUUCAUCAAGAAAUCCUGUCCUUCUCCAUGUAUUUAAAGCCAUAGUUCCAUUAAAACCAAUCCUAUUAGCAUCAAAUAGAAUCCCAACAGUGACUAUAUCUGGUUUCACAUGACGGGUUGAUAGUUCCAACAGCAAGAUUCUCAAGCGCGUAAAAUCUUUCAUCUUCAAGUAAGCUAGCAAGAUAGUAUUUGCCACUGUUGCAUUCCAUGGAACAUUUUUUGCUUCCAUUUCCUUAACAAUGGAGUCCAAGCCUUUUCGACUCAAUAGACAAGCAUGAGAAAGGAGACGCAAACACCAAACAAGAUCAGUUCUACUGGUUACAGAAGCAAGAUUGAGUCCCAUGUCAGCCAAUCUCGAAAACUUGUAGUUUUCAAUGUAAACUUCAGCCAAUUUCCUAAUCAAAUCAUCCUUUAAAGAGGUUUUUGAGUUCAAAACCCUUCUAUAAGCAUUUUCCAUUUUCUCUAUGAUCCCAAAGUUGGCAUAAGCCUCAAGCAUCACAACCAAAGUAGAAGAUUGCAAACCCAUCUUCUUUGAAAGCACAGUCUGAAAAACCCGUUCCAUUCUUUUGAGCAACCCACCACGGGAAAAUUCUUGAAUCAGCAAAUUGUAAGUAAUGUGAUCAGGUAAACACCCAUCUGACUCCAUUUUCUUCACACACUCAUCAAGCUCAUCAUACAUUUUGUAUUUUCCAUAGGAUUGGAUAAGCCCAUCAUAGGUUUCAGUAUCUGCAAUCAAAUUAUUCGCCUUUAAUUCGUUGAGAAAAUACAAAGCUCUAUCGAACUCCCCCUUUCUAGCAAAACAAUGAAUAACUAAAUUGUAGAUCUCCAAGGAAGGUUUAAGACCAUGAGUUUUCAUCCCUUCAAGUGCCAACACUGAUUCUUCUGCAAGAUCCUCUUGACUUAGCAAUCCUAUAAUCUUUGCAUAGUUGAAUUCAUUAAUUCUUGAUUUGUCCAUGUCCUUCCACAGAUGAAACACCUGUUCACAUUUCCUAAAAUUUCAUUAUUCAAUAAGAAUUUCCAAAUCCCUAUUACCCAUUUCCCCAAUAUUCUAUUUGGUUAAAAAGUUAAAAUUUUGAAACUCAGAUUUUUUGUUAGUGGCUAAAAAUACACCCCAGGCAAAUGCGCCUGAUUCAACUAUUGAACUUAGUUGAAUCCAAUUUCAGUUUCUUCUCUUUUUCCCAGCUUUCUCAGCAACCAAACAGAGGGUAAUUUUUCUAGCUAAUCACAAAAAACGUAUAUCCAAUCAGCAAAUGCCGAAAACCCCAGAAUCGAUUCUUUUUUAUUUUUCUAUUUUUGGUGUUACAAUAUGAGAAAGAAAGUGCAAAAGAAGAAGAAGCAGGAAAAUUACCGGAAGAAUCUCGCUGGACCUGGAGGCAUCUUUGAGGAAUCGGAUGACAGCCCAGAAGUGUUGUUUGUUCCAAUCCCCAUCAUCUCUGAGUAGUUGCAGAGGGCUUGAAGCUUUGUUGCUGAGCUUUUGAAUCAAGACUCCGAGCCUCUCGUUCUCAUGGAGGGUUUCAACAAGGAGGGUGGUAUGUUUUGUGGGAUUGUUGUUGUGGGAUAAUUGGAGAUGGUGAGUCUGCAAGUGAGAGUGGGAAUGUGAGGAGAGAGAGGAAGGAGUGAAGAGGGUUUUGGGUUUUAUGAUUAGGAUUUUGGAGAAGAGGAUAUUGGUGUUGAAAAGGCAGGUCUGUCUCAGUGUCGCUCUGCAACAAUGGAUAUCCAUAAUAUGCUGCUGCUAUUCGUUUUCCACCCUCCUCCGCUCAAAUGGUACGCCGUGUGGCUUUUUUUUUUUUUUUCCUUUCCUUUUCUCUUUCUUGUUUUUUAAUAUUAACUAAUUAAUUAAUCUAACUGGCCAAGGGAUGCAUAUGGGCUUGGACUCUGGGUGGGUGGAUGGAACUGCAUUCUCACACCUGAGCCAGGGCCCAGCAACUCCCAGAGCAAGAGCAACACUUGAAUUCGAAGUUGUAAUAUAAGAUAAAUGAAGAAGAGAAUCAAUCACAUGGCUUUGUAUUUCUCCAGAAGAUUGUUGAUUAUCACUGCACUGUAAUGCCAGCCAUGUAUUGAUCAACAUAUCCUCAAUCAUUGAAAAAAUAAAUCCUUAAAUAUUAAAAUUAAUUGUUAUAAAUUCUUUUUUUCCCAUAGUGUUAGAUAACUAACUUUAAAUUUUAAUUCCUAACCAAUAAAAUUAGAAUGGGCAAUACAUAAGAUUCUAACCCUCCAAAAAUUAUUUUAACUUGGUAACUUAAUAGAUUUUUUUUAUUAUAAUAUCUUUACACAUGUCCUCGUUCUAUAGGUUUUUUAUUGUAAUAUCUUUACACAUGUCCUUGCUCCAUAGGUUUUUUAUUGUAAUAUUUUUCCACAUGUCCUCAUUCUAUUGGUUGUAAUAAGGAGGUACGGAAUCGAAAAACACUUUUUGGCACCAAAGCAAAACCCUUAAAAUGGAAUGCUUUUGGCUCUAUAGCAUGGGAGGUUCAACCAAGCUCAACCCAUAGAUAAGUAAAGUAAGCUCCAAGGUAUCUUAGAACCCAUCAAAAUCCUUGCCUCUAAAUAUGUGAUAAAAAGAUUAAAAUACAAAAAUAUAAACUAACAAAACUCGAAUACAAUCGACCCGAUCGAUGAUGUAUUUUCGACAGCAUAACAAGAACUCAAACUGAAAACAACUCUGGCAGUCAUCCCUUCAGAAACAUGAAACUAACGCUACCAACUAGGCAUACAAAAGACUUGAAAGGAUGUGCCUCCAAAUUGAUCUACCCUUUAUUCAACAUGCUGCAGCAUACCACACCCAUCCAUCAAUUUAAUCGAAAGAAACAACGAUGUUGAUAACGAUAACAUCGAUAACCAUAUACAACCCCAAGUCUAAGACUUGAGGCAACUGACCAAGACCUUAUGUACCCAUAAUCUACAAAUCAAUGCUAAUACCACACAAGUAUAUUUGCCUCAUUAGGCCAUAGCUUACCAGCAGAAGCUUUAUCCAUUAAAGGCAAUGCAGUUGGAUGGCAUAUCCAUCUAUCACAUAUUGCGAUAUUGCUGAGGACAUGGGUCCUAAUUUACAGAUGAGCAGCAUACAAAAGGCGCCCAGUAUGGUCUCCCCUUAACUUUCCUCUUCUCUCUCUUGCUGUCGACCGGAUACCUUGCUGGAGAGUUCCAUUCCUGUCCCAAAUCCUUAGCAGGCUCAGUAGUGGGAGCUUCAGGACCUGGAAUCGAAUUCACUUUUGUGGGAGGUGUGGCACUGCCAUUUUUGGCUGGGGCCUCAUCUUUUUGAGUCACCGAAGCUGAAUUUCCUUUUGGAGUUGGUGACUUCAGCUUGGUUUCAGUGUUAGCUUCAACCAAAAGAUUUUUCAAUGGUGUGUGUUGCUUCCCUGUGCUCCAGUUAGUAACCUUGGCAAUAACCUCUUCAUUCUUCUUUCUCCCUUGUGAUUCAUUCACAACAUUAGUAAGAGAAGGAAACCACCCAGCUUGUGAAGAUGCAGAGUUUGGCUGUUGUUGGCUCUGUACGGUCUGGAUUUCAGAAUGGGCAGAUUUCAGACCAUUCCCACCACCUCCAGGUUCAACCAAUGUGGCAAAGGAUGGUGGCUCAAAGACAUCCGAUUUGUCAGAAUCAUGUGACACAGACGCAUGUUUUGGCUUUUUCAAGGUAUCUUUCUCUGACUUGGGAGGUGCUUUGGAACCAGUCAGUUGCAAUGCUUCAGUGUCGACAACCGCAAGUGCAUCUGAUUGAGUUGAAAGGCCUGUUCCAACUAUCACAAACAAGUAAAUAACUUGAAUUUAUAAGAGUUGGACUUAUCACAAGAUGGGCACAACUAGGAGGUUAUUUUUAUGCAAAAGCUAAUGAAUAAAGAACUCAAGACCAAAAAUCAAAAGAAAAGAUUAGCUGAGUUGGAACAAUCUGGAUUGGUAACUCUGGAACAUAUGCUAAACAUUGACAAGGCAGAGUUGACCCAAAUUCUCUAACCACCCUAAUCUUUAAAAAAUUUAUAAGUGGGCCAGUUGUUGGGUUCUGAUGCUUCUUUUGGAAAUCAAAUGUAGAAAAAAAAAUAAGAUGGUUGAAAACUCAAUUUUAAACAAAGCUGGUUUGCUAAACAUGAGAAAGCUGCAGUAAUAUUUUCCACUAUAUAAAAGGGAAGUGUUAACUUACCUGAAACAGAACCCCAGUUGCCUUCCAAACUAUCAGUUUGGCUACCUGAAUCAAUUGAAACAUCAAGUGGCAAAACACCAAGCUGUCUAUCGAUAAUGUUGUUAUCACCUUCCACUUGCAAUGUCUCUGACUUAACACCAGAACCAUUCCCACCAAGCACUUUAGUUUGAUCAUCUUCAACUGCUGUCGUUGACCUUUGAACAGAAGAUUCAGCAUCAACAGACAAAAGCUUUGGCUCUUUUGUUGAUGAACUAAUACCAGAGGCAUCCCCAGCAAGCAAUCCGGUGCAAUCAUCUUCAACAGCAACUGAACUCUGAACAGAAGAUUCAGCAUCUCCAGAUGAAAGCACGGGCUCUUUCAUUGAUGAACUAAUACCAGAAGCUUCCCCACCAAGCAUUUGAGUAUGGUCCUCUUCAACAGUGGUCAAACAUUGAACAGAAGAUUCAAAAUCUCCAGUCUUCUGCAUUGACAGGUUUUCUGCAUUCUGUGUUAAUUUCUCACCAUCAAGAUUUGACUCAGCAACACCACAGACUGCACCCAAACACUGUACUUUUAUCUCAUCAUGCUUACUGAUAUCAAGUCCUUGAGAACCUUUAUCCUGGUUUUGAAGGCAAGAAUGUGUUUCUGUUAUAUCAAUUUCAACUCUGCUUGGAUCUGAAACUUCAUACAAAUCCUUGUUUUCAGUUUCAGGUAAGUUCCUCACGGGCACAUUCAUAUCAUCCUCUGCAGCAACCUGGGAUUCAGAUAGACUGCUUGCAAAUUCAGGGGUACUUAUCACAAUAUUUUCCUCUCCUUCCCUGCUUUCCUUUUCUGUUAUCUCACAUUUUUUUAUUUCAACCUUGUCAUGAUUACCAGCACUGUCACCUCCAAGUGCAAUAUUUUUCUCUUUAGAUCCUUCUGUGCUUUCCUUUCCAGCUAUCUCACAUGUUUCAAUUUUGACAUAUUCAAGAUCACCAGCACUGUCACCUUCAAGUAGGUUGAUAGUUUGAUUAGCUUGGGAGUUAGCGACAGUGCUCACACAUUCAGAGGCUGUUUUCCUGUUCUCUGUAAGAUUUCCCUCAGUAGCUCCUUCAGUAAUGUUACUUCCAGCCAUAUCAAAAUUUUCUAUUCUAGCCUUCUCAUGAUCACCACCACUGUUGUUGUCUACUAAGUUGGUUUUUUGACAAAUUUCAGUGUCAAUGGGAGAAACCAUUGUGUCAGGUAAAACCAUGGUUGCAUUUUCUGGCCAGACCUCAAGUGAUUCCUUGCUAGAAUCAUGAGGUCCCUGUUCUUCAAGAGAACAAAUUGUCUGAUUUUUAUCAAGUUCACUCCCAGAGUGCUUUGCAGGAGCACCAAAUUCAUCUAAUCUAGGGUUUUCACAGAUUGCAACCUUGAUUUCAGAAACACCAGCUUCCCCUUCAACAGGCACGGUAGGAUUUCUGCAAACAUCAUCCUGUUUAAGGUUAUCUUCAAAAGCUUGAACAUCUGAAAGAGAUGGACCUGUGCAACCAGCCAAUUGCCUUGACUGGAUACCAAAAUGGUUCUCCUCAGAAACAGGCACAGUAGUAUUAUCUCCCAUAUCCUUGAUCAAUUCACAAGAGUCUAAGGUCACAGGUAAGUUAGAUUUCACCACAUCAUGAUCGCUAAAAUAUUCAACUGCGGUCACAGGAUUGUCUACUGCAGGUAUACCAUCAGGCUCUGAAAGCACAGCUUCAUUCUCUUCUCCCUUUGCCUUGAAAGAAUCAACCAAAUCACCAGAAGUUACUAAAUAUGAUCCCUGUGCAGCAUCAUCCUGAAUGCAAGCAGUAUCAGCAGAUGUAUCUGUCUGUUCAAUAGAUUUAAGGCCAGGGGAGAGAUCCCUUGGGGAAGACUUGAAUACUACCCCACCACUUUGGUCUUCCUUUACUUCAACAAUUCCAUCAACUGCCACAGGAUCCAAAGGUUUUACAUCUAUCUUCUCUGAUUUCGACCCUACCUCAGAUGUUUCCCUUGCAUCUUCACUCGUUGAGAGAGCAGUGUCCAGUAAUUUUCCAUCGAUCACAAGUAUAUUUUCGUUCUCUUCUCCCUUUGCCUUGCAAACCUCAACUAAAUCGCCACCACUUGCAGAACAUGUUCCCUGUGCAGUAUCCACCUGAUCAUGAGCAGUGUCAGCAGAUGCAUCUAUCUGUUCAACAGAUUUAGGGUCCAAGGAGAGACAAGUUGGGGAAAUUUUAGCUCCUCUCCCAUCAGUUUGAUCUUCCUCUGAUUGAACAAUAACAUCACCUUCCACAGGAUCCAAAGUUUUUUCAUCUGUCUUCUCCGACUUUAACCCAGCCUCAGAUGUUUCACCAGCAUUUUCAUUGGGUGAGACUGCAAUUUCGAGUAAUUUUCUAUCUACAUUUUUUUCUUCAUUCUCCAUUGCAUCAGUCUUCUGCUCAAUCAGUGCCAUAGGGCUUUCCCCGAUAUUCCCACUUAAAGGGCAUUCCAUGAUCCCCUCAACAGCAUUAGUCUUGCAAUCCUCUUGUGGUGCCUCUGUUGGUGUUUCAGGUUUGAUGGCGGACAAGUUGCAUGCUGAAUCAUUUCCAUCCCCACUAAGCCAUAAAGUUGAUUCUCUAGUUAAGUCUUCUGAAAUGGAUCCUGCCACUGAACCAAGGGAAGAACUUGGCACAUGAAUAUAUAAUUUAGGUUAAUCUUAAACUUCAAUCUUGUACAUCAAUUCAAGCUUUUGGUUAUCAUAUUUCAAUAACUUAAUUUAGAAUACAUACAGCUACAUUUUUUGGCUUUUUUUAUUUUCUUUUUUUUUUGUAGGCAAAGACGCAGUUAAGAGCAUAUUAAAAGAAACAAGACGUCCAACGGCAAACGUAAAACAUACAGAAGGUAUACAAUAGGUGCCUAUAGGCUAAAAACAAAAGAAAGAGGGAUACAAACAACUUACCCACCCUCAUCUAUAGCCCACCCACUCAAAAAAGUUAAACAAAGAAUUAGGCCCAUCAACAAUACAACACUUGGACCAAGACCACAAAUUGCUAACAAAAGAAUAUUUCAUCCUUUGGAUCGAAAGAUCCUCAUUUUCAAAAGCAACCUUGUUUCUUUCCCUCCAAACCAUCCAAAAGAGGCAUAAGGGGGCUGCUCUCCAAACCUUCACCCGUUUCUUGCCCACAAACUGCCCAUACCGCCCUAGAAGGAUCUCCUUCAUUGAAGGAGGAAGCACCCAUGGUACCCCAAAAAGGUUAAUUAACAAGUCCCACAAAAUCCUAGCCUUGGUGCAAUGAAUUAAAAGAUGAUUUAUAGACUCUUCAGCAGCCCCACAAAGGUAACAUCUAUUCAGGAGAGCCCAACCCCUCUUCUUUAGUUGGUCCAAAUUUAGAACUUUACCCCAAGUGGCUUCCCAAGCAAAAAAACUGACCUUAGUAGGAACAUAUGGGCUCCAAAUAAUACUUUUUGGAAACGGGACUGUGCUGCUACCCUCCAAAGCACUAUAAAAGGAUUUUUUUUUAUUUAUUUUUUUUCAAUCAAGGCCUACCAUUCAGUGACUUUAAAGUUUCUUUUGGGACAAAAUUUUAGAAUAUAAUUUUUGGGUUUUAACAAACGAAUAUAAACCAUAAACAAUUAGGAGGUUUGUGCUUCUGUCAUUGGAAUGAUCACACAAAUAGGUUUUGAACUUCCCUCCUGGAGCAAGAGAUACAAUUUCUCAAUUUGUUUUAAUUUUUAAAGCCCAUAUUAUCCAUCAUUUGAUUUCCAAUUCUUUACAAGCAGAUCAUACAUCAGACUUGCACAUUUAGAUUUUCUGUCCAUCAUGUAGGUCUACCUCAUCAAAAUUGAACAUUUCAGAACAACAGUAUUUUGAUGUGCGAAACUAAUUAUUGUGAUAUCAUUGUUUCAUUUAAGGGGGGAAAUUUUCGCCAAAAUUAAGAAAAUAUAAUAUACUUUAUAAACUAAAGUAUAAAUAACUUUCACACAAAAAUCCUUAUUUUUUAAGUUUCUUUGCUUUAUCUUUUAUUUAUUGUGAGAAAUAAAAUGCUUAUGUUUUUUCAUAUAACUGUUUAACUGUUUGAAGGAUGUUUUAGUAAACACAAUUAAUGAAAAUUAAUAAAACUUAUUUUUCUUUGAAUUAUUUUCCACCAACAGUUUACCAUAACAAUUUAUAUAACAGAUAACUUGUGUGAUUAAUGUGUUUUAACUUUCAUAACCAUAUUUGAAUGACUUAUUGACUGAUGUUGGAAAAUUUUCAAAUUAUAAUAAUUUAUUAAAUUAUUGCACAAGUUUUUAAUUUAAAAUUCUUAUCUUAUUUAUCAAAUAUCAUUAUUAAAAUUUGCCCCUCUAAAUUGUACUCAUGGCCCCACAACUGGUUUUGUUCAUGUUGGUUGAUGAGAUGAAUUCAAUUAAGGUAAUGAUUGAUGAUAUAUUGGCAUGCUAUUAAACAACGAUAACUUAACCUCCAAGUAAGACAAGAAGCCUUCAUUGAACUGAAAUCAGAUUCUAACAACAAUAAGGUAUUAUUUGAUGAUAAGACAUGUAUGAAAUUUCGUCGCAUUUUCCUUCUUAGGACCGUCUAUAUUUGUUUAACUAUUAGAAUACAUAACUUUUUUAUUUCUCACCAAACUGCUAACUAUCAAAGAAACCAAUAUUUUAAGAAGCAAGUGAAGAAAAAAGACAACAAAAAAUAACAAUCUUAGACCUAAACCUUGAACCUCUGUUUGUAUUGUUACCAGGUUCCCUGUCUUAUCCCAUUACUCUAGGUUAACACCUUCCCUUGGCCAACAGGAUUCAAUUCUGUGCUGCUAUUUCUUUUUCCUUUUCAUGUCCUUUGGGCGUCCCUGCCUCUAUAUUUUACACGUAUCAAAAGGUUGAUCCCAACCACUAUAUUUUCUUUUUUCUUUUUUAUUUUGCUCACUUUUGAUCAAUCUCAUAGUCACUUUAGGUCUUUGAUUCACAUCACCAAAUUAUCUUACCCAAUUUUACCUUAUUUGGAAACUUACACGGGCUAGUCUUAAGGGUCAUUUCAUACUAUAACUUCUGAUUUUCUGCAUAUCCAUAAUGCAUUAUCAAAAAAUCAACAUAAAUUCAGCAAGUCCAUGGUUUUUUUGGCCUGUUAACCUAUUCAAGGCCAUCCACACAUCACUUUAAAACAAUCAAAUGAUACUAGAAAAGAUGAUGACAAAUAUAAGAAUACAAUAAUAAAAUACUAUACACUAAGUUUUAGAUUAUCUUAAGGUUAUGUUUGGUUCCUAGAAAAAUUGAUGGAAAAUGUAAGGGAAAUAAAAUAGAGAGGAAAAGUAGAAAGAAAGAGAAAAAGGAAAAAAAACUAAAAAUAGAUUUAAAGCCAAUAAAUUUUAUAUGCUACAUAGAAUUCAUUUCACCAAUUUCAACUCUUCUAGCCCUAAGGACCUAGGUCAAGUGGUAAAGAGGUGAGGAGGGUUUGUGGGCGGUAAUAGGUUCAAGUCCUAAAGUGGAUAAAAAUUUACCUAUUAAAAAAAAAAUCUUCUAUAUAAAUGAUUAAAUAAUUUGAAAAUGCAUAAGUUUGUAACUAAUAUUAAUUAUACUUGAUUUCCUUUCAUAUUUUCCCUAGUACCUUAGCACUUUUCAGGAACCAAAAAUAGCAUAAGUCUUUAUUUAAACAUGCCUUUGGCAACUAUCAACCCCAUUGUUUUAUAUUCUCGGUCCCACAUAAGAGAAGUGCAACAACUGAUAAGUUUUUUUUUUAUGAGCAAUUAUUUUUUAAACAUAAUCAAAUAUACCAUUGGAUCAUAUCCUUAUCAAUGAAUCAUUAAUUAUACUUAAAUUAAAUAGUUAUUCUUCAAACCAUUAAAAGCUGACCUGUAAUUGAAUUAUCUUCAAGCGGUUGUUUGGCAUCGAAACCAUCCUUUGCUACCUUUUCCACAUUAGUAAUAGAUUCUCUAGCAUCCUCCAAAACUUGUUCAAUUCCAGGACUAAUUCCACUGUCUGAAAAUUCAGUAACUGCAUCUGAAAACACUUCAUCUUCCAUUCUAUUUGAUCUUUCCCCGAUUCCACCGGUACCAAUCCCAUUUUUACUUGUCUCCACAUUUUUUGGACCUGACAGAACCAAAUUCACCAUGUGACCACAUUAAUUAAUUCAGGAAAAUUAACUCUCAUUUUAGUUUACCGGAAAUGUGAAGGAAACAGAAAGAAAAUGAAAUUAGGAAUCUUCUGUCCCCGAGAACAAUCUUUUGUUUGGUUCUGUUUUAGUUCCAAAAAGUGACAGCUAUACUGAACCAGCCAAAUGUUUCUAUCAGAUACAGUUGAGGACAACUUUAUAUAUCUCUCUCUUUCUUUUCUUUUUCUUUUUUUUUUUUGUCUCAGCGUGCUCAACAUUGAAACCUUCAAGGUUCGAAAUUCUAUUCUCUGCUCUUUCCCUUUAUCAUCCCAGCAAGCAAACAAAGUAAAAAAAAGAAAAAAAAAAAGGUUCAUUAAAGAAAACAAUAAUUCUUACUAGGGGUUUUAUUAUCAUCAUCUGAGGGGUGUUCAUCAUCAUCUGAAACUGCUGAAUGGGUGCUACCUUCUGAGUGAACAAGCUUAUACCCUUCAACUUUCCCACAGACUCUCUUGUGGGCUCGUCUGUGCUUCGCACUCGGAUGUGGGUUAGGGAAUGGCCACCCGCAUUUGUGACAAAGAUGAACUCCAUGGCUCUCUUGGCCUGCAAAUUCAGCAAAACCCCCAUCAAAAUUCUUCCACAAAAAGAGAAAUUUUCCAAAUAAAAAUACCCAACCCCGUUUGGUUGGUCAGAAAACCGUGGAAAAUGCAGUAAAGGUCGGGAUCUUAUGCCUUUCAUCAUCGUAUUCUCCAAGAAAUGAAAGACCCAACUCAGCUACUUAGGUUACAACUAGGUUUUCCUUCUUUUCUUACACUCUCUCACUAACCAAACGAAACAAAUCAACAACCAAACUUAACAACAAAACCCACUAAAGAUCUUUCAUUAGCAAGCAACCCCAGAAGAAAACAAACAAAAAAAAAAUCAGCAAAAUCUCAAUUUUCGCGCGUUAGGUUAAACGCACUUCAAAAGAUUCACAACUCAUUUCUUUUCCUCCCCUACAUUUCCUCACCAACCAAACAGAGACAAAUCACCAACCGAACUAACACAACCGAUUAAGGAUCUUCCACUAGCAACCAACCCCAAAAGAGGAAAAGGAACACAAAAACAAAAUCCAGUAAGCGAGAGUUAAAAAUCAAAAACCAAAACCCCAUCUAAAAAGAAAAAAAAAAAAGAAUAAAAAUCAAAACCUAUGAAUAAAAACUAAUACAAACCUGACUGUUGGGUAAUCUUGGCGUGAUCUUUGGCAUCCAUUGUAGAGAAACGAGGGAAAGAGCAAGAGGAAAAAAAGAAAAAAGAGAGAAAAAGAGAGGAAAAGACUUGAAUCUAGAGUGAGAAAAGGUUGGAGUUGGUCUAAUAGUGCGCGUGGACUCUUCGUAUAAAUCUCGGUAUCCACACUAACAACUUAGACCGAGACAGACGCACGGAUCAUAUAGAGAGAGAGUGAGGAGAGAGAAAGUUGUACUAGUCUCCCCAUGUGCCUCUGCGAAGGGGGGACGUCAUGGCUACAAUCUUCUGCGAUUGGGCACACGAUACACAUGCAUGAACCCCUGCUUUACGUUGUUGUACUCUUCGAUUACUUACCUUUUUCUAUACGGUGGUACACACAAUUUAAGCAUGUCAGCGUCGAAAUCUGAAAAUGAGAGUAGCACGUGCCAUGCAUGUGCACUCAUAGUCCCGCAAAUUUAUGAUAAUAUUUUUAAAAAAUGGAGAAAAAAGUAGCUUUUUAUGAGAUAUUUGUAAAUGCAGGGACCCUUUAACUCCCUUUUUUUUUCUAAUAUUUAAAAUUUUUAAUUUUACAUUAAAAAUAUUUUUUAUGAAAAUUAAAUAUUUAAUAUUUUUUUAAAAAUCUAAAGAAUUAUUACCAAAAAUAAUAUCAAUAUUUUUUUAUUUAUACCCAAACAUUAAAUGUAUUUUGUUUUAAAUUAAGUGGGAUAAAUUUUUUUAAUAACUUUUAAAAAUUAAAAAAUUAUCUAAGUGUCACAUAAGUCUAAUUAGCAACAGUUUUUAAUAAUAAUUUUUUGUUCUUUAAAAUAAAUAAAAACAGUCAAACAUCUUUCAUAAUUAAAAAACUGUUUUAUAUUUUAUAUUCUUAAAAAUAAAAAAUUUAUGAAAAAACAUAUUUGAGUUAAUUUUCACUUUUUUUUAGGACUAUUUAAAAAAAUAAUUAUAUAAAUAAGUAGAAUAAUAAAAAAUAAAACACUAAAUAUAAAAAUUAUUUUUAAAAUAUAUUUAAAAAUAUUCAAAACAAAUUAAAAACAUUUCAGAUUUUUAAACAAAUUUUUAUUUUAAAAAACUUAAAAGAACGGUUUUCAAAAAUUAUUUUUUAAAAUUAUUUUCGAAAAUAGUCAUCAAAGGGGAAGUAAGUGAUUCUUUCAAAAAUCAAUUGUUUUAUAUAACAUAUUAUCAAAAUAUUAUUUUAUUUAUAUCUAAAUAUUAAGUAAUUAACUUUAAAAGCAUUUUUAUAAAACGCUAAUAAUAAAAGCACUUCAAACUUAAGCAAUUUGACUAAAAAGUAAAAUCACUUUUAAAUGGGUUGUAAAUAUUUAAUAGUUAAUAUUUAAUUCUUAUUCCAUUUUAUACUAUACUACUUAAGACUUAAGAGUCCGUUUUACCUCCUUUAUCAUCCGGGAUUCUAAAUUAAUUUAAGCUCAAUUAAGACGAUGUUCAAGUUAACAAACGUAUUGGGUUAAUAAUGGGGAAAAAAUAUUUAUCUUAUAACAUUUUUUUGGUUCUUUGUAUUUUUUUUUUUCAAAAUUUUAAAAUUCCAUUUAUUUUAUUGUAAAAAUUUUAUUAUGAGAUGAUAUGAUAAAUUUUUUAGAUUGUAAAGUCUGAAUCAAUUUUAUUGUGUUUCGUCCAGGAUGUCGAGUGUCGAGUUAUCGGAUGAACUCAUAAAAAGUUUCAUCAUUAUAAUUCUUCUUAUUCAUUUUAAUUUGUGGAUUAUACUUUAUGAUUAUAAAGAUCACAUUCCUCGUCAAAACAAUAUUAAAAAUCUUGUAUUUUUAUUUAUUUUCUAUUUUUGUUUUGAUUAACAAAAUUAUAUAACAAGACUUGUACGUGUAGACAAAGCCAUUACUUCAUGCAUUGACCAAACUCAAACCUAUGAUACAAAAAAUUAAACGUACGUGAUAUGGCAAAUAAAUUCUAAGAGAAAGACAUUAUUUAAUAAUUUAUUAUUUUACUCUUUUAUAUUUUAAUCAAAUGUAAAAUAUGUUACACUUACAUAUAGUGGGGAACAUAAACAUCUUUCAUUAAUGUAAAUUAAUUAAUCUUUAAAGUAAAUAUUAGAUCUUUUCAUACUUUAAUUAAUACAUGAAUCCAUCAUCCAAAAAACAAAAAAAAGUUAAGAGUAAAUAAAACGAUAAAUUUUAACAUCUUAUAGUUGGAGUUUGACACUUAUCCAUAUUCUAUUAGAUAGAAAAUAUAUAUCUAAAAAUAUGAUUUAUAAGAAGAUAUAAUAUUCUUAGAUAUUAAAUUUUUUAAGUUAUGUUUUGUUUCCUAAAAAUAUGAGAGAAAGAAAAUAGAAAUGAAAAGUAGUAGAAAAUAAAAACAAUGGAUUUAAAGUAAAUAAAUUAUUUUUAUAUACUAUUUCAAAAAAAUUUCACUAAUUUAACCAUUUUAUAUUAAUAUUAGAUAAUUUAAUAUACAAUUUUCUUAAUAAUUUUAAUUAUAUUUAACUUUCUUUCAUAUUUUCUAUAAUAAAACCAAAUAUGAUAAAUUAACAGUUUUUGUUCUUUCCCAAGUACUUUCCAGGAACCAAACAUAAUAUUAAUAUAUCAUAUUCCACUAAAUUGAAAAUGCAUAUUCAAAAAUAUGAUUUUCGAUAUGAUAUAAUAUCCUUAGAUAUUAAAUUUAAUGAAUAUGAUAUUGUAAGGUAUUAUAUUUUAUAUAUGUUAUGAUAUAUUUAUAUUUAUUUUAUAAAAUGAAUCAAAAAAUAAAAUAGAAUAUGUGUUAUUUUUCAUUGUUUAAAUUAAAAAUUAUAUUGUAUUCCAAUAUUUUUUAUUUUUUAAACAAUAUGAAAUCUUUAUUGCGAGUUCAACAAUAUUUAUGAUUAAAAUAUUGAAGUUAUGUUGGGUUGUUUGGAUAUAAUGUGGAAUAAAAUAAUAGAGGAGAUAACAUAUCAUAUCCUAAUUUGUAAUGAGAUAAGAUAAGUUACUCCAUUGUAUCAUAUUUAUAACCAAAUAUGAAAUACGAUAAGUGUCACCCUCCUUUCUAUAUCCCUUCUAUAUGAAAUACGUUAAUCUUAAGUUAAAAUGUAUGAUAUUCAUCCUUCAUAAUUAACUAUAUAAGAUGUAGGAUAUCUUAUCCACCCUCUUUUGUUAUUAAUUUUUUUUAUAAAGUUUAAUACAAUAAAGUUUAACAAUAUUCAUAAAUUGAGUUUAUAUUACGGUAAACUUUAUAAAUUAAAAAAUUAUGUCAUGUUAUGUUAUUAGAUAUAUACAAAUAAUAUAUAUAUAUAUAUAUAUAUAUAUAUAUCUAUAUAUAACGAAAAAUUUAAGUUUUUAAUAAAAAAAUAUUUAUUUUACAAAAUAAACAAUAUAAAAAAAAUAAAAUUUUGGUAAACAAAAUAAAUUUAUGAUAUAUAGGAAAUGUAUAUUGUACGUAUUAGCUCAAAAUUAACAUAUUAUAUGUAGAAAAGAUAUAUAUAUAAAAAAUGUAUAAUACAUAUUAACACUUAUCUUAUAUCAAGUGAUUCAUUUGAAUACAUGAUAGGAAAAGUAUAAUGAAAUAACUUAUCAUAUCCUAUCGCCAAUUAGACAUGCAGACAUGUUAUUCACUCUUUUAACUUAUCUAAUCAACCAAACAUAGUCUUAUUGUAAAUUAAAUAUAAUUAUACAUUUAAGUGGGGUUUGACUUUUAUAAUUCACUUUUAAUUUACUACUAUUUAUUAUUUUAAAUAAAUUUUCAAAUCAAAAUUUAUUGGGACAAUAUUUAUAAAAUAUUAAUAAUUUCAUAUUUGAAAAUUAAUUUUAAUUAUUAAUUUUUAAUAAUUAGUAAUGAUUUGUGUAUCAAUUUUAAUUAUUAAUUUAUAAUAAUUAGUAAUGAUUUGUGUGGUAUCUUUUCAUACUCAUGUCAUUCUUAGUGAUUUUUUUAUUUUAAAUGAAUUUUAAAAUUUUGUUUUAUUUAUUAUUAAUAAUUAUUCUUGUGUUGGGGAGGGAUUUAGAGUUAAUUAACUUUUAUAACUACUAUAAACAAUUUUAUGUUUUAAUUGAAUUAAAAAGUUAAAUUUAUAAAAUAAUUUAGGGAUUUUAUGAGUGAUUUAUCAUUUUAAUUUUUUGUAUAUGGAGAUUUUUAAAUAAUUAAUAAUAGUUAUUAGUUUAAAUUUUAAGUAAAUAAUAUUUUUAGUUAAUUUUUUAUAAUUAUUUUUUUUAUCUUUAAUAAUUAAAUUUAUUUAUUUGUUUGAUUUUGUGCAUGAACGAUUUGCAUUUAUGAAACUAAUUUCUUUUUGCUUCAUUGUUUGGAGGAAUAAUUUUAAAGUUACUAAAAUAGCCUUCCAUAAAAGGUUGUAUUUUUAAACAAUAUUUUAAUUUCAAAUUACAUUAAAAAUUGCUAUUAUUUUUUAUUUUUUAACAACAUUUGAUAGAUAUAAAGUAAAGUAGUACUAAACUCUAAACCAUAGUUCAACACUUGAUUUAUCUAUGUGGUUGAAUAAAACAAGAAUUUUGAAAAAAGUUAGAAAAUAUUUUUAUGCAAUUAAUUAUUUUAAAAUAUCAUUUUUUUAAACUGUAAUAUUCUACAUUGGAUUUUGGAGAAAGUUACUAGGGUUAUAUAAGUAUAAAUUACUCUUAAUUUUGUAGACACAUUUUUCAAGCCGAAAGGAUCCUUUAGACUAAAGUGAAGAACAUUUACACGGUUGAGUGAGUCAAUAAGGACGUUAUAUUUAUAUGAGGGUGUUUAUGAUGUCCAACAUUAUCGAAUAUGAAAAAAGUAAAAAGUUUAUAGACUUCUCUUAAUUUUAUAAAUGUGUUUUAAAGUGGUGGGUGUUUCUUUUGACCAGUCCAGUUAGAUACGGGUUCUUAUAAAAACAUUUUUAAAAUGUGAUUUUGAUAAUAAUAAUAAUGAGAAAAAUGAAGAUGGAGAAGCAAAUUAAUUGAUAAUGGGAUGUUGGGGUUGGUGUGGUGUCUUAAAAUAAAUGUGGGUUUAAGGGAGGGGGGGGAACAGGAGGAGUGGGCAUAAUUUAGUGGGACCCACUCGAAAGACUUUUGUCCUCUCAUAUUCUUUAUCACGUGUCUUUCAUUUCUUGAGCAACUAAAGCCUUUCCCCAUUCUCCACCAAACCAUGCAAUAAUUUUUUAUUCAUUUAUUGUCUUUUAAAGCAACCCCUACUUGAUGAAUACUUUGACAUUGUUUGAUUUUUUUUUUUAAGAUUUUGUAUUUUUUUUUUGGUGCAAAAUUGUUUUAUUUUAAAUUCCAAGUCCCUCAAGAGCAUCUCAAAAUUAGAUCAUCUUUUGUCUCUAACCUUUUAGUUAGUUUUGAAUGUUUUUUUUUUUUAGAGUUUUUUUCAAAACAUAAUUAUACUAAUAUAACUAAUGAUUAAAAAUAAAAUAUUAUAAAUAAGAAUUAUCUUUUUAAAAUAUCCAUAAAUGUAAAAACAAAUUAAAAAUAUUUCAAAUUCUCAAAUAGACUUUUAUUUUAAAAAAUAUUAAAAAAUCGUUAUAAAAAAAAAAUUGUUUUAAGAACUAUUUUUCAAAAACGCUUCCCAAAUAAAUCCUUAGGAUCUAUUUGAUAAUAUUUUUAUAUAUAGAUUUCAAAAAUGAUUUUUGAUAAAAGUUCUUAAAUAUUACUUUCAAAUUGCUUUUAAAUAUAAAAUUUUGUUUAGGAUUCAAAUAUGAGAAAAUGAUUUCCUGGAUUUAUUCUUUGUGAUGACAUUGUGUAUUUAUAUAUAAUUUUUAAUUUUUAAUUAUUUAUGAAUACGAUUUACAAAAAAAAGUCUAAAUGUAUUGUACAUUUAUAUACAAUGUAAAAGUUCUAAAAGUGUUCUUCCCAUUUUUAGUUGUUUCUUAAUAUCCUUUACAAAAAAUAUGAGAACAUCUUAAAUUCGAAAAACAAGUUAUUUAAAAAAAAUUAAAAUUGAUUUUAAUAAAAAAUUUACCAAAUAUCUUGAGAAAAGUGAGGUUUGAUUCACUAAUUUUUAAAAAUAUAGAAAAAAGUACCUCAACUUUUAUAAAUCAGUUUUAUAUUCAUUUAUUUAAAAAUAUUUUAAAAUAUAUGCACUAUUUCAUAAGUCACAUAUUUAUUUCCUGAAAUGAUUGUUUACUUGUAACAACAACUGACAAUUUUUUUAAAACUUUUUAAACUAAGAAAUUGGAAAAUACAUUUAAAAUUUAAAAACUUUAAAGCUAAAAGUAUGAAAAUAAAAUAUUUACUUUGACUUUAUUAAAUGAUGUAGUAGACAAUAUACAUAUUAAGAAAGAGUUGAAAAUACAAUUAUACUCAAUAUUUUAUUUUUAAAGUUUUAAAGUUUUUUUGGUUUUAAUUGUAUUAAAUUUCUAUUUUUUUUAAAUUUUAAUUAUAUUUUAAUUUUUAAGUAUUUUAGUUUUAUUUGUAUUCUUAAUAUUUAAAAUUUCUUCUUUUAACCGUUGAUGUUAACUAAUAAUUUUUUUUUAAAAAUUAUUAAAAAAAACAAAGAGAAGAUGAGUAUAUUUAUAUAAUACCAUAUUUAAAAUCAUUAUUAAUUAGGAUAUUAGAAAGAUUUUAUUUAUCACUUGAGGAUAGUGAAGAAUUUUUCCAAAAUGAUUUGUAUGUAAUAUUAUAUAAUAAAAAAUUAUAAUGUGUUUAUUUAUGAGAUAAUUUUAUCAAAUUAAAAUGAUAAAAUAAUAUUUUAAUAAUUUUAUUUAAUAUUAUCAAGUAAAAUAGUGUUUUAGGAAAUAAUUAUCUUACUUAUGAAAAAGUGCAUAUAUUUUAAAAUAUUUUUAAAUAAACGAAUAUAAAACUAAUUUAUAAAAGUUAUGGUUCUUUUUUCUAUAUUUUAUCAAAUUAGCGAGUCAAAACCCAUUUUUUUCAAAUAUCUUUUUAAAUUUAAAAAUUAUUUUAAUAAACAAAAACCAUUUUUAACCAUAGUUUCCAAACAAGACUUCACAUAAAAUCUUAAAUAUAAAAGGUUUUUUUAAAUGUAAUGCUGACAAAAUAAUUUUUUGAACAACUCUUAAGAAUAAGUUUCCGUGUUUUUAGAAAUGAAAUUAUGUUUGUAAAUUAAAUUCUAAAAAAUAUUUUUUUUGUUGUUAAAAAUUGUCUUUGGUUAGGUUAAGAAAAACAGUUUUAUAAAACAAGUAAAAUAAAAAAACUCGUUUGGAUGUUCUUUUUUAAAUUAAUUGUUUUCUUUAAUUAACUUGUUUUGUAAAUACAAAUAAUUUUUGGAUUUCCAUUUUAUUAAAAUUUUAAAAAAUUGUAUCUAUUUUUAAAUUAUUUAAAAAUAAAUUUUUUGCCUUGUAAACAUGUGAUUACAUUUGAUUUCCAAUAUUUUUAUUUACACAUAUGGUAAACUUCUUAAUUAUUUUAAAAACUUUUUUUUAUACCAUAAAUGCAUCAUAUUGAAGCAUGUUUUUAUUAAGACAAAAUUUUAAUCCAAAUAUUAUGUGUUCACCAAUGCAACCAACAUUAAUACCCAUUAAUGCUAUAAAUAUUUGAUGACAAUUUUGAGAUAACAUAUUGUGAACCCCGCAUUUCGGCUCAUGCUUUUCCCACUCGAUGACGAACUCGAUUUUUAUUUGAAAAUUUGAUUUUUAUUUGAUUAAGAAAAUUGACUUGGAGUCGCCACUUAUUUUUGUUUUAUUUUUAAAGGGUAAACAAAAUAAGAAAGAAAAACCCUAAGUGUGACUCCUUGUUUUGGAAAAGGUGGUCUGUGAAAAACCGGAUCAGGUUCGGGGGUCAGGUUACUUAUCGGGAAGGUACGGUAGAGAUCGUAGCACCCCUCUAAGUCCCUAAAGUCAGGUCUCUACUAAUAAAAUGAAGCUAACGUGGCAGUUGAUAAGAAAAUCAAUGGGUACUCAAAUCGAUUAAGCGCAUAUGGGAAUCAAAACAUGCAAUAGAGAAUGACUAGAAUAGGAGUAGAUGCGUACCUGGACCACGAAUGAGCAAUAUGCUAUCAUAACAAAAUGGGGUUAGUGCACAAUAUAGAGCACGAAACAUAUCACAUCCAUCACCAAAUGGAAAUCAAAAUUGUCCGAAGGAAAGCUGGAUUUCUGAAAUUCAUUUGAAAAUUGGAGUCUUAGAGGUUAUUCGAAAAUUGGAGUUUUAAAGUUUAUCUGAAAAUUGGAUUCGUAGGAAUUAGAUGUAAGAAUGAGAAUUUUGGAAAUUAAAUUUGAAAGAGAUUGGGAUUUUGAGGGAUUAUUUGAAAGUUCGGGAUUUUUGAGGAAAACUAAGUUACGAAAAUUAGGGCUUUGGGAAUUAAAUUUUGAAAGAAAACAAAAUUGUGAGUUAUUUGAGAAGUAGAGAUUAUGAGAGUCGUUUUAUAAAAAGUUGGCAAUCUUGAAAAUCAUUUGAAGGCAAAAUUUAUAGAAAUAAUGAAUAAAACAAUAGUGACAAUGAUAAUGAUAAGUAGCGGGAUAAAUACGGGAAUUGGAGCAUGAGAAACCGAAAAUGAAGUUCGGAGAUAGGACAAUUAGAAUUUCGAAUAGCUAAACUUAGGAAUCGGAAUUUUGAAGAAUUAGACUUUAAUGGUUGAAAUUUUUAAGAGAAAUAAAUGGGUAAGUAUGGAAUAAUGUUACUAAUUAAUCAAAACGAUAUUUGGACGGAUGAAUAGUGAAUAGUGGGAUUUUGAAAAUUAAUUUUGAAAGUCGGGCCUUUGAAUAAUUGGACUCUAAUUAUUGGAAUUUUUAGAAGGAGGGUGGAAUUUAUAAUAAUGAUAGCAAAGAUGAUAUUUAAAUGAAUAAAAGUGAAUGAUGGAACUUUUUUUUUUUAGUCUAAAGGUUAAAUUUGGAAAACCGGUUUUGAAGAGUUGAAUUUUAAUGAUUGAAAUAAAUAAAUGAACAAAUAUGGAAUAACGAUACUUAUUAACAAAAAUGAUGUUCCAACGAAUAAAAUAGUGGAAUUUUUAUAAUUGAAAAUUUGAAUUAGGGCGUUGGAUUUUUAAAGGAUUAGGCUUUGAAUAAAUAGGUAGGUAUGAGAUUAUAAUACUAGUUAACGAGAAUAAUAUUUAGGCGAAUGAUGGAAUUUCUGGGAUCGAAAGUUGAAUUAAGACAGGGGGUUUUCGAAAGAUUGGACUUGGAAUAGAUAUGGAAUAAUGAUUCUAAUGGGUGAGGAUAAAAUUUAGACGAAUUGUAGAAUUUUUAGGAUCGAAAAAUUAAAUUAAGACAUGAGAUUUUUGAAGAACUAGGUUUUAAAUAAAUAGAUGAGUAUGGGAUAAUAAUCCUGAUCGACGAAAAUAAGAUUUAAACAAAUUACUAAGAAACUAAAUUAAGACGGGAUUUUUAGGGAUUAGACUUUGAAUAACUAAAUAAACAUAGGAUAAUAAUUCGAUUUAUGAAAAUAUGAUUUAAGCGAGUAUUUGAAGAAUUAAAUUAAAAACGUGGGAUUUUUGAAGGGUUAGGCUAGAUAAUAAAUGAAUGUAUAAGAUAAUAAUUCCCAUUGGGGGACAUAAGAUUUAAACGAGUAUUGGAAAAAUUAAAUUACGGCAUGGGAUUUUCUUAAUGGAUUGGACUUCGAACAACUAAUAAUACGGGAUGAUGAUUCGAUUUAUGAGAUUAAGAUUUAAACAAGUACUGGAAGAAUUAAAUUAAAGUGUGAGAUUUUUGAAGGAUUGACAUAGAUGGAUAGGAGAAUAUAGGAUAGUGGUUCUAGUUGAUAAAUAUGAGACUUAAAAGAGUAUUUGAAGAAUUAAAUUAAAACAUGUGACCUUUUUUAUAGAUUGGACUUUUAAUAAAAUAAUAAAUACGGGAUAAUGAUUUGAUUUAUGAAAAUAUGAUUUAAACAAGAAUUAAAUUAAAACUUAGGAUUUUUGAAGGAUUGACAUAGAUAGAUAGGAGAAUAUAGGAUAGUAGUUCUAAUUAAUAAAUACGAGAUUUAAAAGAGUAUUUGAGGAAUUAAAUUUUUUUAUAGAUUGGGCUUUGAAUAAAUAAUAAAUAAGGGAUAACGGUUUGAUUUAUAAAAAUAUGAUUUAAACAAAUAUUUUGAAGUAUUAAAUUAAACUUAGGAUUUUUUUCUUUUGAAGGAUUGGCAUGGAGCCUAUCAUCCACACAAACUGGGCCUGGGCUCCAACUCAAGCCCAAGUUCAAUACCUUCAUGGGCAAGCCCAAAGCAACCAUCCAUCACAAAUUUGGGCCUAAUGCCACAACUUAAGCCCAAGUCUAAAGACAUUAGUGGGCAAGCCUCAAGGUUCCAUCUUCAACAUAGGCUUGGGCCUGGGCUCCAAAUUCAAACCCAAGCCCAAAGCCAAAACCAAACACAAAAUUGGGCCUAGCCUUAACCCAAGCCCAAAAACUAAAACCUCAUCUUCUUCCCAGCUUGUUCCCUCUCGCGCCUGGCUUCAGCACCAACAGCCACCUCCUCGCGGUGGCAGCGGCGACACCACCAUGUCGGAACAGCUGCCAGAGAGCGGAAGCUAACGCGCGUCCUCUUCCCGGCGCGUCCACGUACUCCAACGCCCUCUCAAUCCCGGCGGUGCAGAGUGCGGGAAUCGCGGUCAUCUGGCGGUCCAGGCUCGCGGCGUGUGUCGAACGUCCUCUUCUCCCAGCUGCAUGGCGACGGUGUUGAGGAGAAUGUCGCAUCUGCAGCCGGCGUCGAAGGCGUCUCCCACUGUCGGUCAAUCACUGACCGCGCUGCCCAUGCGCCGAGCCUCGUCCUAACGGAGACCAUGGGAAGAGCAAAACAUGCCGUCGGCGGCAAAGAAAAGGUGGACGGCAGAGAUGGUAGAGGUGGUUUGCAUGUUUGGGCCCCAUGCGUGCAGAAGGGCGACUUCGAGAGUCCUUGCGGGGAUAGGUGUGGAAAAGGUAGCCAUACUUGCAUGGCUCCCCUGCACCCGAAGCGAAAGGGACGCCUAUGCACGGAGAAAAAGAGUUUCUACUCCUUGGAGCUCAUACAACUAAUGGGAUCCAAGAGCAAAGAUGGCCAUAACAAACGAGAAACUCAUGCAAAACCAAGCAACAUGCAUACAUUGGCGAGAUUUAUGGAGGAAAAAUAAGUAGCCAAAUCAAUCAACAAGCCUAUAAUAUUCGUACCUGUGGAAGUAUCUCUCCAGCCAAAGCCAACAGGACUCCAAGCUUCCUCCUCUAACUCCCCAGAACCCCCCCUGUCUUCCUCAGCAAGCCACUGAAAAAAUCUCCUCUGUCACCCUCUACAGCCCCCAGCUCCUUUGUUCCUCUUAUGUCCCAUCUGGCCGCCCGAGAGCAGCCCACUUAGAGCCAUCCGAAAAGCAACCAAAAAAUAAUGAUAAAUAAUCCACGAAAGCUCUCUCCUCCGGGGGGAUCUACACAUAUACAUUCACUUAUUAAUAAUGAUAAUAAUUAAAAGAAAGAUAAUAAAUAACAAAGAACAAACGAUGAUGCUACAUUCACAAUAACCAUUAUACAAAAGAUAAAUUUGAAUAUUUGUUAUAAGGAAGCAUUGGACAUCGUAGGUUGGCAAUUGGUGGUUGAGGUUGUUUUGGGUCGAACUCGUUAACCCAUAUAAAUGAACAAAUGUUCAUACAAUAAAAAAUUGUUAAAAAAAAAGAUUUAUGUUGUGUAUAUUUCAUUAAUAUCAAUUUCUUUUUAUGGGCUUAUGUAUAGCAUAAAAUCAACAACCUUAAUUUUUCUCUUUUUUUUACAUGAAAAGGUGCAUACCACUGCACCCACAAUAACACAUGCACCAUUUGUCCACUCCCCUUUUAUAAUUGUAAAUCCAAGUUAUAAAUAAUAUUUAAUCAUUAUCAAUUAGAACAGUCAUCUCAUGUUACUAAUGGAAACCAUUAUAUAUAUAGACGUUGUAGAUUAAUUCAAUAUUUAUUAUAAAAUUCAAUAUAUAAUUGAAUAAGACACAUAUUUAGAAUUAAAUAGAUUAUAGGUCAUAGAUUAACAUUGAUAUAAUUUACCCACAUUACUUGAGUAAUUUGAUUUUUAUUGGCUAUCAUAGUUGUUGCAAUCUCAUUUGAUAAAUCAAUUAAGUGGUUCGUGGCUUAUUCACUUUGUUCUAAAAGAUCUUCUACCUCAUAUUACUUGGCCAAUUGAUCAUUUUGUGCUCGAAUGAAUCUAAUUGUGAAAGGAACAAUAUGCAAUAGUAAUUGAAGGUUGUCUACUUAGGUAAUAACAAGACAUAAAUCAUGUUUUUAAAAUACUAAAACACCUUUCAAUGAUAUUCUGAAGGGAUGAAUAUUUGUAAUUUAAAAGUUUUUUUUAUACCUUUUAGGUUUAUUAUGUCUAUCAUUAUAUUCUUGUAAAUGAUAUUAUUAACCUUGACAUGGUGUUAGAAAUCCAAAUACAUAAGGAAUACCAAAAUCAAUUAAAUGAUAUUUUCCUUCACUUGGCUAAGGAAAUUAAAUUUCAGUUCCAAUAAGUACUGCAUCCAAAAAGAUAUGUGAACUGUUCAUUGUUUCUUCCUAACUAACAUAAAAAAACUUGAACAUCAUGUUAAAAUCUCACACAUGCAUAAUAUUUUUAUAUUAUAAUUAUUUUUCUACCCUCGAAAGUAGUUCAUCUAUUAGUUGGAACUAUACACUACCUCAAUGCAGUUUACAACAAUAUUAUUACUAUUAAGGGGAGAAAAAAAAAACAGCUUGUGUAUAUUAAGUACAUAUAUUUAAAUAUUAUUUAUAUAAUCUUACCUUAAACGAUGGAAACAUUUUAAGGUUAUUAGCAAUAAAUGAAAACACCUCAUUAGCUAUAUUAUUAAGAGCUACAAAAAUUUUGACUAUUCAACAUAUUGUCUAUCUAACUUCUUUAAAGUAUUGAGCAACAAUCUUUGUGGAGGAUUGAAAAUGAUGUACAACAAUCCUCAUUCUCACAUUAUGCCUUGUUAUUAGUAAGAAUAUAACAAUUACUAUGUCUUUAGUCUAACAAUUUGAAAAACUUGAUCUUUUUAUAACAAUGACAUGCAAUCCUGAGUAGAAGGAGAUUCCAGAUGAAUUAAAGGAAAAACAAAUGUCACAAGAUAGACCUAAUUUAACUUCACUGAUUUUUCGAACAAAGUUGCAAGAUUUAAUGGACUAAUUAUUUAAAAAAAAAAACACAUGUUUAGAAAAGUUGUUGCACAUGUGCAUGUGAUAGAGUUAAAAAAAAAGGAUUACCUCAGACACACAUUUUGAUCAUCUUAAAGGCAAAAUAUAAAAUUAUGAGACCUGAUUAGCACGAUAAAUUUGUGAGUGUUGAAAUUCCAGAUCCUAUAAGAUGUCUAAUUUUACAUCAAAAGUUUGGGAAACACAUGAUGAAUGACCCUUGAGGAGCAUUGAAGAAAAAUAAUUCAUGAUGUGGGAUAGCAAAUGCAAAAACAAGUAUCAUCAUCCUUUUUGUACUAAAAUAGUGCAAGCUAAGGAUUCUUAUCCAAUUUACUGUACAAGAAAUGACAAUCAAGUAUUGGUUUGUAAUGCAACAUUAAAUAAUCUUUGGGUGCUUUACAAUUCAUAUUUUUUGAUACGAUAGGUUUAUUGUAGAAAUAUGUUAUAACAUCAAGGUAGUUGAAUAUCUUUCUAAGUACAUAUAUAAGAGUCAUGAUAGAGUUACAAUUUAUGUAACUAAUAAUAAGGAUGAUGUUUUAAUUGAUGAAAUUCAAUUCAACAAUUUCAAAAUGCUUGGUGAGUACCAUCACAAAAAGCUGUAUGGAGGAUUUUUGAGUUUGAAUUAAAUGAAAUAUAUAUAAUCGUUAUUAAUUUAUAAUUACAUUUGCCAAACAAGUAAGUCGUCUUUUAUUGGGAAACCCAAAAUUUAGAAAACAUUAUUUAUUUUGAUGUUGCAUCUAAAACAAUGCUUAGAGAGUUUUUCAAUACAUGCUCUCAAGAUGAUGAAGAAAAAACAUAUUUGUAUAAAGAAUUUCUAGAGUAUUAUGUUUGGAAUAAGCAUGGUAAGUGUUGGAAUAAAGGGAAAAGUAGAGAAGUUAUUGAUUUGGUAAAUAAAGCAAACCCAUUUGAAGAGGAUCGAUGUUAUUUGAGACUUUUAUUGAAUCAUGCUAAAUGACCGACUUAUUUUCAAGAUUUAUUAACUUAUAAUAGUGUUUGAUAUUUAUCAUUUAAGGAGGUUGGACAAAAACAAAGUUUGUAAGAAUUUGAUGACUCCAUAUUGGAAUGUUUACAUAAAGUUGCAUGUUUUCAAAUGCCACUAGAAAUGCGUUGCCUUUUUGCAAUUAUAUGGGUUUAUUGUUAGCUUGUUGAUGUUAGGAAAUUGUGGGAUACUUAUUUUGGAUUGAUAUAAGAAGAUUUUUGAACCAUCCACUAAUUUACACAUGAUGCUCAAAUUAUAAGCACAUUGAAAAGUAUUGACUUCUUGCAAAGUAUGGGAAAAAGUAGUUUUGAUUAUGACUUGCCACUCAUGGAUUUAAGUGAUUUAGAUACAAACACCAUUGAAAAGAGAGAUUUUUUACGAGUUGGCUAUAAACAUUAGCAUUGAGGAUUUAAAUUCUCCAACUACUUUAAAUUUGAAACAAUUAAUUAUCUAUUUAACUAUCUUUGAUUGAAUAAAUUUUAGGACAAAUAGGGUUUUCUUCGUAGAUGGUUUAGGUGAGACUAGAAGAAUAUAUUUAUAUUGUGCAUUACUUGCAACUACCAUAUCAAGAGGAAUGAUAACCAUUGUAACAAUAACAUCAAGAGUAGUGUUUUCCAUAAUUUUAGGUGGUCGAACAUCACACCCAAGGUUUAAGAUACCCAUUAAUAUUGAAUCCAAUUUCUACAACAUAAGCAAGUAAAAUGGUAUAGUAGAAUUACUUAGAAGAGCAAAAUUGAUAAUAUGGGAUAAAACUCCAAUGACAAAGUAAUGGGCUAUUAAGGCACUUGAUAAAAAUUUAAAAGAUAUUAUAAAUACCUAAUUAGUGUUUAAUGGAAAGAUUAUUGUAUUUGGAGAAGAUUCUUGACAAGUGCUACCAAUUGUAUCUUGAGGCACAAAAGUUGAAACUAUUAAUGGAACUUUAGGCAUGUCCUACCUUGAGCCUUAAAUGAAGAACUUAAUACUAACUACAAACAUGCAUGCUUAUUUUGAUACCAUUAUCAAUGACUUCCUUUUACAUGUUGGGAAUGGUGAUGAACCUAUAAUAAAUGAAGAUAUGAUAAAAAUCCCUAAUGAAAUGUAGAUUAAAUAUGAAGAUGAUGAGAAUCCUGAAGAAUGUUUGAUUAACGUCUUUCCUUCACUAAAAAAUCAUGCACCCUUGGUUGAAUAUAUUACGAAACAAGCUAUCCUUGUAACAACAAAUGAUUAUAUUGAUAUACUAAAUGAAAAACUCAUUGAAACGUUUCCAAGGGAAUUUAAAACAUAUUACAGUUUCGAUUAUGCAAUUGAUGAUACUCAAAAUUAUUAUUAAAAAGAAUUUUUGAAUACACCAACACUAAACAAGCUUCCUCCUCAUAAGUUAGUCUUAAAGAAGAAUUUUCCUACCAUACUCUUAUGGAACUUAGAUUCAUCUAAUGAACUUUGCAAUGGGAUUAGAAUGGUUUGCAAAUGUUUUGAGUCAAAUGUAAUAUCUAUAGAAAUUACAACACAACAGUAUGCUGAAAAACAAGUAUUACUCCUAAGAAUACCUCUUUCACCAGUAGAAAAUGAAGGAUACCCUUUCCAUUUCAAAUGAUCCCAAUAUCCAAUUUGACUUAGUUUUGCAAUGACUAUAAACAAAGCAUAAGCCCAAAUAAUCUUAUAUGUUGGCAUAUAUUUACCAUAAAAUUUCUUCUCGCAAGAUCAAUUAUAUGUUGCAUUAUCAUGUAACACUUUAAUAAAAACAACAAAAGUCCUCAUUAAAGAAAGCACUUUUAAAUGUACCAUUGGAAAAAGAUCUUAUACUAAGAAUGUGGUAUAUAGAGAAGUUUUAAUUCUAGGAAAGUAAUGAACCUACCUAUGCUUUAUACUUUUCAUUAUUUUAAUUAAUUAGUUUCCCUUGUUUGAUAUUGUUGAAUUUCUUAUCCUAAAUAAUUUCAUUCUUCAAUUUUUUUUUGUAGCCACAACAUUUGAUGAAGAAAUUAAUGUCCGAGGCUUUAUACCUCUUAACAUGAUUUAAUCUUCUCAUAGAUAAAAGCAUUAGUUCUUCAUUGACGUUUAAUAGAAUUGUAUAAUACUUCAAAAGGAUUUGGAAAAACUUCACAAGAUAAAAUUAAUGGGUGAUAAGUUUUGAUAAGUUUUUUUAUUUUUUAUGAUUAUGUUCAUGUUUACUUUUAUUUACCUACUGCUUAAUUGAGGUGCACAUUUAAAUUUUUUAUAUGCUCUCAUAGGGUAUAAGAAUAUAAGAAAUUUUAUUUUGUGAUGCAAUUGACAUGUUUAAGAAGGAAUUCAUUAAGGAAAAGACAUUUUAUUUCAAAUGGAUUGGUCAAACAAGUGAAUGCUAAUUUUUUAAAUGUUCUAGAUACUCUUGAGUUAACGUUAUUUAUCCAUUCUCAAGUGGAGGAGGCUAUAAUUAUCAUUGACCUAUCAAAUGCUACGUAUAACUUCAUCAAAUUUAAGUAUAUCAACUAGCAUUUAGAAACCAACAAUCUAAUUGGUAAGUAGAUAUAUAUUAUUUAGAAAAUUUCAUUUCAUUUUUACAAUUUUGAGGUACUAACAUUUAAAUAUUUUCAUUUUUCCUUCUAGAUUUAUCAGCUGUUGUUGUGAAGGCUGACAUUUUUAUUUUCAUAAAGAGAUAUGAAAAUUUUGGUGACACUAGCAAGCGCGAUAUCACACUCAUGAAUUAUUGUACUUAUUUAUACCUUUUUACAAUUAAUAUUUUUUUCCUAAAAAAAUAUAUUUACGUUUUUAGAUUCUAAUAGUUAUAACUUUAUAACAUAUUUUAUUCAUGUUUAUUACAGUCAUGAUACAAUUGGAUUAACAUUAUGGGGGGAUCUUGCAAGAAAUGAAGGUCAUUUAUAAAAAGAGAAAAUUAUUUGUAAAUUAAUAAUUGCAUUAUAAAAAACAAAGAUUACAACAUAUGAAGGUAUAUGUUACACGUUAUUUAAUUUUUUUAAACAUUUUUAUUUAUUGGAUAUAUAUAUAUAUAUAUCAAUAUUAACUAUUUAAGAAUUUUAUUGACAAUUAGGGAAUUUAUGUUUAUCCACAUUGUCAAUUACCACAUUUUAUGUCAAUUUAGAUUUGGCAAAAGUUGCGAAAAUCAAAGAAUGUUACACUUUAAAAAGUUAAUGCUUUAAAAAAAAUCUCUCUACUUUCACAUACCAAUAUUGAAAUAAUAUGAAUUACAAACCUAAUUUGAAAGUCAAACUCUAUUAUCAAUGCAAGUAUGCCAAGGAUGGUUGGCCUAACAAAGAUUAUGCCCUCAUAAUGCAUCACACUGAUUGAUUUAAUAUAAAAAGAAUUAUUUGAAUUCCAGGUAUAUGACAUCCUAGAAGGGGAUAAAAACCUAUUGAUAUUUUUUAUAUUCUAAUACUUAAAUUAAUACUAUUGUUUGUUUAAACUUGUAGAAAAUUUAUUAUUCAUUUAAAGAAACAAUUGUCAAUGUUGACAAUAUGGAUGAACCUUGGUACAAUUAUGCACAAAAUGUAAUAAAAAAGUCGUUUGAAAGGCUAAAUAGUGCAGUGUCCAAAAUGUUGCAACACCAAUACAAAUUAUUGUCGUUCAAGGUAAUAUCCCUCAUUUAUGUUGAUUAUUAAACAUUCAAGCAACGAUGAUAUACACUUACUAAAAUUCAUUUUUCUUUAUUCAUUUUAUUGAUUAAUGGAAUUAAUAUAAACGUAUGCUUAGACUUACAAUUGCUGAUGGAACUCACCAAGUUGUCUUAACCUUGUUUGAUGUUGUGGAACAAUCUUUAGAUGUCUUGUAACUAAGUUCAUUGAAACAAAAAAAAAACAGGUGCAAUAUUUUGAACUUUUAACAAAUUAUGAUCAUGAUUAACAAGAAAAAAAAAAACUCUUCUUACCUAACCUUCAUCAACUUUGUAUUUUAGGAAGGAAUGAAUAAUUAUUUUUAUAAAGAGUUGAUCCACUCUUAUAGGAAGUCAUUAACUUUCCUCAAAGAUUAAUAAAAUGAAUAACACAACUAUAAAACCUCCAUUUUGUCCAUUUAGCACAUGUCUUUAAGUUCACUUCCAGUGUUCCACAUUAGUUCUUUGAUGACCCAUUAUUACUCAUGUAGCUUACCUUUUCUGAGCCAUUUUGGAGACUUUGGUUGAAGGGUUUAUUCGGCUCCACAUUAUUACCUUGGUUGUCUUUCAAGUUUAGAUUAGGUUUCAUUUAGGCGCACUUUAAGUUAGACUUAAUUAGGCCUAUUUAGACACCUUAGGCCCGUCUAAGUUCACUUAGGCCUACUUAUGCACACUUGACCCAUUAGACAUUCUUAGCGUGACUUGUAUAGUUGUAUGACUCAUUUAUCACAUUUAUUUAUUUAUUUUUAUUUUUUAUUAUUAUUGUCAAUCACUUUUAUUUAAUCAUUUAUUAUAUUUUAUUUAUUUAUUUAUUUUAAUUUAUUUUCAUUGUUAUCAAUCACUUUUAUUUAUUUGGUUAUUAUUUAUUUAUUUGUUUGUUUGUUUAUUUAUUUUUAUUAUUAUCGAUCACCUAUUUUUUUAUUUACUUAUUUAUUUACUAUCACUUAAAUAUUUGUUCAUUAUCUUGCUAUUUAUUCAUUUAUUUAUUAUUAUCAUUUGAUCGUUCUUCGAGAAAAAUAUUUAUUCAUUUAUUUGAUUUAAUAAUUUGAAGUUUUAUAGGAAAAUCUACCAAUGGAGAAAUUUUUGGAAAAGACAGGACUCUUUAGGUGAUAUGCACAAAUUCAUUUUUGAAAUUAAAAAAAAAAAGUUUUUUUGGUGGAUAAGACGGAGAGUUGGGAGGGAGGAAGACUCCUUAGAGGGAAUGACUUCUAAUUGCUAUAAAAAGCUCUAACAGAUGGGUGUAGGGGCGGUAGAAAGAGAUAGAGAAAAAAAAAGAGGUUUUCAAAGUAAGGAUUUUGAGCACGCAUUGAGAAGGUGGAAAGAAAGGUCGGAGUCGAGAGAGAGACAAAGGAGAAAGAAAAUUGAUCGGCUUGCUUUCUCUUCGGAAGUAAGUUCUUCACUAUAAAACUUAUGCUCUCUCCUGUUUUCUUUUUCUUUCUCGUCUACUAUUACCAUGAUUUAUAUGAUGAUUGAGUGCGGCUUUCAGAGGCCAUAUGUUUGCUGUUGAUUUUGGACUGUUAUUAGAUUUGUCAUAGUUUGUGUUUCUUCUAUUGCUUUUUGUUUAUAUUAGAGAAUGAUCCGACUCUGUUGGUUUCAUUGUAAUAUCUAGAAGUUCUUCUUCUUUCUCCCAUAUCCAAGCCCGUUGAAAGUGCAUAUAUGAUACAUGGCUUUGAAUGAUUACCCAUCUAUGUGUUUCUUUUCUCCCUACUGUCUUUCUGCCUUAUUUUAUCAUUUUUGUUCAUGAUAUGUACGUCGGGUCACAUGAACUUAUUGUUUGCGAUGAUUGGAAUUCGAACCACCCUUUUUUGACUAAUUGAUGUCACCGGAGAAGUCUCUAAAAGGCAGUUAUUGAUUUUGAUAUUACAAGUGAUCUGGUGGUGUUUACGGGUUUUGUUGAGGGUGUUUGGGUUCAAAGCGAAACUGCUUAUCCGACGUCCUGCAUGAAAGAAUCCGCUCUGUCUCAGUUGUUUAUAAGAUAAACAAGUGUUCUUGUUAGUAACAGGUGGAAGAAUGAGCAUACAUGGUUAUCAUGUUUCAUGGAAUAAAAAAGGUUCAUUCAGCCAUGAUCUAUAAGAAUUCCCGAGAAAUCUCUGAUGUAUUAAAAUGGAUCCAAGAGAUUAGUCGGAUAAAGGAUGCCGAGAUGAGGUGGACAUUUAAUAUGAGAUUGGGACGACACCAAACUGGAGGAACUGAUAGAGUGAAUCAAUUUGCGUUAAUGCCAAGAAUCCUUUUCCUUUGCAUGCAAUUAAGUGACCAUCGAUGUAAUGAGACCAUAUUGUAGACUAUUUAGUCACAAACUAUAGGAUGAGACCCAUUAAAGCUGGUUCGGAGAUGAUGUACUAGAAGAGAUGGAGUUCUUCGCUGUUACUAAACUACAGUAGUCAUAGCAGGAAGGUAGCUUUUAUAAUUAUGUUUGGAGUGGUUGCAAUCAAAGAGAGUUAAUGGGGCGCAUUUCUGAAUGUAUUUGCUGCCGUGUUAACUGGUUCUAUAUCCAUAGGGUUGGCAUCUACUUGCAUGAAAAAUGGUGGCCUUUUCCUAGCACUAGAUUCAUACACAUAUAGUUCGAUCUGCACCUUGCAGGCUGACGAUUAGCAAACUUGAGUCUAAGUGCUAGUCAAACAAAAAACCAUGAUGCAGGAUCCAGAUGAUAGUUGAUGGAAAGCACGGCGUCCUUGCUUAUCGAGAGGGUUUGGAAUCAUGAACUUAUUAAACACCCAGGCGUAGUCUUCAUGGGGUGAUUCGCACAGGGAGCAUGGAAGCAGAAAACGUUUUGGGUAGAGCGUCUACGUUGGAGAUUGAUUGGUGAACCAAAACAAUUCUGAAUCCGUUGUGAUGAAAGUGAAAGGAAGGUGCUUUGGAUUUAGAAGAUACUAGGAUUUUCACAUCUGCCGACACUCAUUAGCAUAAGCAAGGAUUUGAGGGCUGAGAUGGUACCAUGAUGAUACAGAGAAGUGCUCCAGAAUCUAAGCAUGGUUCAUGCCUUAUUUGUCUUAUUGUCCUCAUCAUUUCUAGAAAGACAUUGAUAAUAAUCAUGUGAGCUAACCCCUAUUUUCAAUGAACUUGAAGAUCAUUUGGGUUUGUGUUUGCUAUCAUAUGAGGCUGAUAAAUUAAAGGCACAUGAUCUCUAAACUGAUUGGCUUACUGCUUGGUUGCAUGAUAUGAAGGGGGAAUGUGUCAUAUGUGAAAAAUUUACCUUCACCAUUUGCCCGAGUAUACGUGCUGCCAAUUUCCACAAAAUGGAUAGUCUCUAUGGCUCUUAAAAUGACACGCGCUCCCUAUUUCUAGCUCCCUUUUGGCUGCAUAUACUUAACAUUUUCUUAGUGGAACCAUCAUCCUCUUUGUUGUCUAGGAUAGGGUGUACUUCAUGGGACCCACUAAAAUUUCUCUUCAAUAAUUUGAUAAAUUCCAACUACUCAUUGUGAAUUUGGUGUUGAUUUUGUAAAUCUGAAUUUGACACAUUGUGGAAGACUUUUUCCUAAUGUAGUAGCAUAGUUAUUUUGGGAGAAUAAUUCUAGUGGUGCAAACAAAAACUUGAUGGAACCCCCCGCAUAAGAAAAUGUUUCAAAACUUUUUUUUUCUUGCUGUCAGUUUUCACUCAACCAUUGAACCUUUAGAUUUAAAAUUCGUUUCAAUAACUUUAGAAUAUUUUUUAAAAAUUUACAAAACUUGUAUGACUUUCCUCACUUCUUGAACUUGAAUUUAAAGUUUUGUUUGAGUUAGAAAAUCAUUCUGGAAUAGAAGAUAUAAAUGAGUCUUUAGGGGGGCUCCAUUUUCACCCAGUUAUGGACAUUCGAGAUAUUUUUGAAAAAACAAAAUACCAGACGACUUUUUAGAUUUGAUUCAAUAUUUUUUUUUUUUAUCAAUUCUAGACUUCUUGAAAUUGAUAUUAGAUGCAUAAAAUGUUAAAAAAUAUGCCAUUUUGAGGGAGAUAUGAUUUUUCAAAGACAUACCUACUGUGCAUAACGAAAUUUGGACAUCUGAUUAGUUGGAGCAUUUUAAAAAUAUUUUUGAGUAUUAACCGACCUUGAAUUUAUUUUUCUUGUGAUAUAGACACCUUUAAAGAUGUGUGAUUUUUUGUACGAAUUUAUGUGAUUUCUUAUUAUUUUUUUUUAAAAUUCAUUUUUUCAUGUCAUUUUUCUCAUCUAAUAUGGACUUUGUAGAACCUUUAAGUGUCUUUGCUGCAAUCUGUCAUUUGAAUGAGUAUUUGGAUUUUGGUAUGUUAAUCUAGAUGUGUAAGAGUUGUUUCCUGAAAUUUUUCAUAAUUAAAUUCCACUCUAAGCCAUUUUUUUUAGAAAUUGAUUUGUGAUGCUUCCUUUUCUAACCGCAUGCUGAUGGGUUUAUACUUUACUUGAAAUUGUUAUUAUUUUUAGAGUCAUUUGAUUUAUCUUAGCUCAAUUUUGGAUUUGGUAAUGUAUAUUAGACAUUAUAAAGAUUUUAUAUAAUAUAUAAUUUUCCUAACCACCUUAGCCUUUUUUGAGGAAUUUUAUAAAUUAUGCAUGCUAUCCAGGUACGCUUUCUAUCAGUUACUUUUCAGAAUUCCAUGAACAUGCAUGUUGUUAUGAGUCUUUUUUAUGCUUGAUGUGAUCCUUAGGUGCUUAGAUGUAUGCUUGAUUUGCUUGGAUAAAACACAUGUUGUGUGCUAUAUUUCUGUACUAACUUUGAUGUUUUAUGAUAACACUUGAGAAACAGUUCAGGAACACACUUUGACUCUCCUUUAUGAUCAUGAUUUGACUUUUUGGCUU
rnacentral:lncRNA from 1 species